rnacentral:lncRNA from 1 species
AAACUAAAAGGGUGGGUGUGUUUUUUUAUAUUUUUUUAUUUUUUGAGAGAUAGAUAGUAUGUGAUUUAUUUAUUUUAUUUAAAAUUAAAUUUAACUAAAAAUGUGAAUCAAUAAAGAUUCUAACUUGAAAUCUUAGGUACCAACAAAGGAGUCCUUUUAGGUAAAAAAUUUUAGAAUGCAACGAGUAUAUUCAUGAUGUGACAUAAUAAAUCAAUCAAAUGCCUUAUUUUAGAGAUAUAUAUUUUAUUAUGAUGGUAAAAAAAAUAUUUUUAUUAUAUUUUUAUUUGAAAAGAAGGAAUGUGAUUAGUUUAUUAUUGAUGGCGUGGUGCAAGUGUAACAGCGUAGAAUUCCUCCUUUCGGGUGGAUGUGUGUUACUUGGGGUACGAAGCGGGCGACAAAUAUAACUGUUCGGAAUUCGGAAAAACCCUACCAAGAAACCCUCCGCGCCGCAUCGAUCCUCUUCCUCGCCGCUUUUCCUCACUCUUUUCUUCACUCCGUCCGUCCGUCCGUCCAAGGCCGAUCAUCAUCCGUUAGAGAGAGAGAGAGAGAGAGAGAGUGAGAGAGAGAAAAGCGUGGGGGUGUGAGGCCGGGGCAAGGGAGCGGAAGAGGGAAAAGGCGAAGAAGAAGAAGAAGAAGAAGAAGAAUAAAAAAGAAAGAAAUAAAAAGAUGCCGCUGGGUCAGAGGGCGGGCGACAAGAGCGAGUCCCGCUACUGCGGCGUCGAGACCCACUUCGACCCCGACAUGCCGCAGGCCCUCACCCGCGAUCUCCGCCGGCUUCGAUUCAUCCUCUCCCCCUCGUACAUCAUUUUACAAUUUCUCAAUACAAAUAUAAUAAAUAUAUAUAUAUAUAUAUAUAUAUAUAUAUAUAUAUAUUAUAAUAUAUAAUUAUAUAGUAUAUAUAUAUUAGCUUGCUCGCUCGCUCGGUCGCUUGCUCCUAAGAUCUGUUCCAGUUCAUAAUUUGCUCCUGUUUGUUGCUGAACUCGGCGCAGAUCGAUCCUGCAUAUAGACCUUCUUCUUCUUCUUCUGCCGAGACCCGCGGAUGCGAAGGCCCCGUUGUUCUUCCUGUCGCGGCGUCCGACCUCGUUCUCACGUCGUCGGUAUGCGCACCUGCCGACCGAAUCAUGCGAAUUUACGCAGCAUCCUGUCUCUUAGUGUGUUUUCUCUAAUGAAUGAAUGAUCAGGAAAAGUGAGCUCCUGGAUUGACCUGGAUUCAGAGGAUGAGCAGCUUCGUCUGGACUCGGAGAUCACGUUGAAGCAGGAAAUCGCAUGGGCUUCUCACCUCUCCUUGCAGGUUUAUGUAUUAUUAUUAUUAUUAUUAUUAUUACAGCAAUAAAAUGCAGUUUAUAAUGCAUGUUUUGAGGAGGAUGGUAUAUCCUAAAAGUUGCACAAAUUGAUCACCUUCUCCCAUUGGUAUCUCGUUUGCCAUGUGCAUGUUAUGUUAUGCUAUGUUAUCUGCUUGCCGACCAUGUACACGUGCAAAGCGCGGCUUCGCAGCAUCCUUGUCUCUCGUCCUAGCUUAAUUUGUAGUUUUACCGUAUUUUUCAGUAAAUUUCAAAUUGCCGUGUUAAAUCGUUGCUGCUUGGAAGGAAUGGAACAGAUUCGAACUCAAGUAGUAUACGUCUGCAAUUUUUGAACCAUAUUUACAUUUUCAUGGACUCCGAGAAAAGUCUGUGGCUGUAGAACUCAUCUCUAGUUACAGAAGCUAUAACCGAAGUAGAAGCUUUAAAUGCAUUUCUUAAUACUAAUUGCUGGUUUUCUUUUUCCCCCAUUUGUAACUAUUGAAAAAGAACAUUCAAUCAAAUUCGUUUAUUCCUGUAUGCAGGCCUGCCUUCUUCCUCCCCCCAAGAGAUAUUCUUGCGGUAAUUAUGCAAGAUGUGUAAAUCAAAUCUUGCAAGGUAUGAGCAAUAUGCAGGUAUUUUUCCAUCGCCGAUCUUAUGUGUUCAUUUACUUCUUCUUUUUUUUUUUUGUUUUUUUUUGUUGGCCAGAUUAGGUUUUAAUGUACUUUUGUUUCUUCCUUUCGGUUAAAAGUUGUGGCUCAGAAUACCCCUGGAGAAGUCUGAACUGAUGGAGGAUGAUUCAACGAAUGCAGCUUCUAAACAUCCUGUAAGUAUUGGCUAUCUAUUUAGAAGAAAUAUGUGAAAAUUGUCAACCUUAAACUGUUAAAGUUGUUUAAAGUCCCCGAUAGAAUGUAUUGUUAGGGGUAUUGAAUGUGCUUCCUGAACCUCUUUUUUUAAAAGAUUUGUCUUGUUAUCUUAAAAGUGAUACUACUUCGCUCUGCAGAGUGAAGGAACUUUUGACUCGUGGGAGUUGUGGAAUUCCUUUCGGCUGUUAUGCGAGCAUCAUACUCAGCUGUCCAUAGCUCUUGACAUUUUGUAAGUCAGACUUUUCAUCUUUCCCCAUUUAAAAUUUUGUAUAAUUCUGUUCAAAGUUCAUUUCAGCAUUAGCUAUUCAUCACGGUAGUGGAAAUUCAAUACUGAAUUUGUAACUCGUUCAUCAGGAGUUCGCUACCAUCGAUAAACUCACUUGGCCGAUGGUUUGGUGAACCAGUCAGAUGUGCGAUCCUCCAAACAAGUGUAAAUAUUUUGAUUUAAAAUUUUAAGCAUUUAGCAUUAAUGGUUAAAUUUAGUCUUUCACAGAUAUAUGCUUUUAUUUUCACAGUCCUUUCUAACAAAUGCUAGAGGGUACCCUUGUCUAUCGAAGCGCCAUCAGAAAUUAGUGAUGGGUUUCUUUAAUCAUUCUAUCCAGGUAGUUCAAGUAAAUUUAUUUUUAAGGAUUACUUUAGAUGGAUUUUUGUACGGCGCUAAAGAUCUUUGUUCUAUCCUCUCUUCCUUUAGUUCUCAAUCAACUUCUUUCUGAUGCUUCUUUUAGAUAGUAUUAUCUGGAACUUCACUUCAUAAUGUUUCUCAAGAAAUAUCUGAAGACUUGCUCGUAGGUGACAACAAUAACCAUCUUGAAGGUAAUUACUGAAGAAUAUAUCUUAUAAUAGAACAUAUUUAAAUGAUUGGCUUUUCCUUUUCUUUUCCACAAAAUGGUGUUUGUUUACCUCCAUGGCGUUCUGUGAUGCUUAUUAAGUGGUCGCCUUUUGAGUUACAAACUCCAUAUCACUAUGUAGGUAUGCCUGUUCAUCAUGCGUUGAGGCCUUAUCUUGAUUAUGUUGCAUACCUAUACCAAAAGAUGGACCCACUUCCUGAACAAGAACGCUUUGAGGUACCCACUGUCUCUGUAAUAUAUUUUGUGUUUUCCUGUAUAUACCCAGCAAAGUACACUUAAUUGUGUAUACCCGAAAACUUACAAUUGCGUCCAUAGUCCAUGCCCUUAAAGAUACAUAACCUACAUUUGUGUGUACCCGUCAAAAUUUACAUCUUGCACCUCCUUAUAUUUGUGUGCAUAAGCUCCACUCGAGAGUUCUCCAUUGAAAAGGGCGGUUUUUCACAUGAGCUUCAAUAACUCAGAACAUUUCAAUUGAUGGCAUCCUUUUUGGCAUGGCCAACUCUUUAAUGGGAGCAGAGGGUCACAUAUAGUUAUGAGUUAUUGCUAUAGGCACAAAUUGUAGCUUUAAGGGGCAUCGUGCAAGUAUGGGCUAUUUCUGCGGAUAACUUUUGAGGGGUAUGUGUACAAUUUUUUGUAUUUUGAAAUGUAUGUGUGCCUCGGUUGAUUCUUGUUUUGUUGUUAGUUCUCUUUUCAUUUGUUUAAACUUCUAUCUUGCAGAUUGGUUAUAGGGACUUUUUACAGUCUCCUUUGCAGGUAAAAUUCUGACUCUGUCUCCUUUCUCUUUUCUCUCUAGUCUUGUCAAUUACAUUUCGACUUUGCCUAUUAACUUUGUUGUUUCUUUUCUGCUAAGGCAAUCUUUGCGAAUGGAGGGUAACUUUCUGUUGCUCAUACAUUUGUCUUUUUUUUCCAGCCUCUCAUGGAUAAUCUUGAGGCACAAACUUAUGAGACAUUCGAGAAAGACACAGUGAAAUAUAGCCAGGUUUUUUACUGCUCUGACUAUUUAUUUAUUUAUUUAUUUAUUUAUUUAUUUUUCCAAAGAUAAUUAUUGUUCAUGAGGGCCUGGACUGUGAAGAGGCAAAUCGCAGUACAUCAACAGACAAAAUUUUCUGAAAAGAAAGUACUAGUCCAACAAAAAUUUGCGAGCCAAUCAGUGGCGGCUUGAUUGGCCUUGUGUGGAACGUGGCUAAAUACAGUUUGAUACUUGAGGAUAUAGGCCCUUAAAUAUGUACUGUAUAACUUGCAACUCGUUAUCAUUUGUAGUAGGUUUCAUCUGUAUGUAAGCAAAGUUGUAUUUCCCUUUUUGUUGGCAAUGCUUAUGAUCAACUCUGAAUAUUGACUCCUCUAUAUAAGGAACUCAUCUUACUAUCUGUAUCUGGACAGUACCAAAGAGCAAUUUCUAAAGCUUUGGUUGACAGAGUGCCUGAUGAAGCAGCCUCUACAACAAAGACGGUAAUAUAGGCAGUUCAGCUCUAUUUUGUAGCAGUCUCUUCUUUCUUCUUUUCUUUUGGCAUGAUUGAAAUUAUGGUUAACUUUGCUGCAUUUCAUAUAAGAGUUCAUCUGUUAGGCGUACCCAAGGAUUACCCAAGGAUUAAAGUUGAGACCUCAAUUGUGUCACGCUUGAACCCCACAUAAUCUUACAUCCCUGAAAUACCUUAUGAAUAUCACUUAUCAUUUUACAGUCGAUGCCCUUGAAUAAGCACUGGCUCCAUGUGCUCUGAUUCAUUAUUUGUAUUCAGAUCUAGUUGUAAACUACCUAAUUUAUGGAGAUUGAUUUAUAUAUGCCAUACAUUGUACAUCUUUUGCCUGAUAAAAAUCCGCUUAUCUCAAAUUCAGGUAUCCUUUAUAGGAGUAAUAAUAUAGAUUGAAAUCAGUGCCUCAUUUUUCAAAAAGAUGCCUAUGCGUAAGAGAUCUUUUAUUUACGUAAUUUUCGGCUUUUAAGAAAUUUACAUGUUCUGAAUGAUGUUUAAUAAUGUGGUUUUUCACUUGUAAUGUAAUACAUUGAACGACCUUGUAAAGGUUUAGGCCUCAAUCUUUGCGAGAGGAUGCCUGCUCAGCUUGUGAGUCAGAGAAUCAGAUUAGCUCACGUUCCUUUAUUAAUCUGCGAAGGCUAACAUCAUCUCAAUUUUUUUUUAUUUCCAAAAAGGUGCUAAUGGUUGUUGGAGCGGGACGAGGACCAUUAGUAAGAGCAUCAUUGCAGGUAUAUUGCACCUCAUUUCUAUAAAUCUGGCCUCCGAUGAGUAUUUUAAAACCUGAGCAAAAAGAAAAAACCAUUAGAAUUAUGUUCUCACGUUAUUGUGGGUACUAAACCAUUGAAAUUAUGUUCUCAUUGCGGGUAUUUACUUUUCCUCAAUUGAAUUACAAAUUUCUUAUCACAUUAGGGUAUGUCAACCAUCAAGAAUGACAUCAAGCAUAAUUACUAUUCUAAUUACUUAAUCUUUUUGUAAAGUGAAUUUCAGUGUUUUGGUACAAUCAUAAUGUAGAUGUUAGUGAACUCAAAAGGAUAUCACCCUCAGUUAAUUUUGCACUGAACUAUUCUUUUGUUUUUCUCCCCAAGAAUAUUUACAAGGAUGUUCGACAUAGUUUGAAUUUUGAACUGCUUAAUUGUGGUUUAGCUUCUAUUUUAGAAUUCCAUAAGGUUUUUUCUAUCUGAUGAUAUAUGCAGGCUGCUGAAGAAACAGGUCGGAAGUUAAAAGUUUAUGCUGUGGAGAAAAAUCCAAAUGCUGUUAUAACCCUUCAUGUGAGUUGUCAAAAUGGUUGUCUUACUAUUCCUCCGUAGACUCUGUACUGUUUUCUAUUUUUCGUAUUCAGCCAUUCCCUCAGUCUCUCAAAUUCUUAUCUUAACAAAUUAGAUUAAAGCAAUACGGAAUAGGAGAACUUACUCUUUUCUUUUGUAGGGAAGGAUUGAACUUUAUCACUUUAAACCUUUUCCUGCUAAAUGUUAUUAAUUAUGGAACCCCGGUAGUCACGAUCCAAACCGACUUCAUCUGUUCCAAGCCUAACUUCAACUCGACCUGGCCCAACCUUAGUCCAACCUGAAGUUGAUUUGGGUUAUGGUCAAAGGGAAAGUUUGACCUGAGAUAGGGAUUAAGAUUAGCCUUCAACCAGAUCUAACGUGCCCAAGUUGAACCCCUGGCAUUCAUUCAAAGUUAUAGGUGGCGAUGCACAUUGAUAAUGAUGAUGAUGCUUUUCCAUGGCAGAGCUUGGUCAAAUUGGAGGGGUGGGAAAGUGUGGUCACCAUUGUUUCUAGUGACAUGCGUUCUUGGGAUGCCCCUGAAAAGGCUGAUAUAUUGGUAUUGAUCUACCUUAUUUGGAUUUUUUAUAUGCAAAUAUCUCCUUAACAAUUAAUACCUAUUACUGUAAAAUAUAAUGAAAUGUCAUCCAAUUUUAAUCAGGUGAGCGAGUUACUGGGCUCCUUUGGCGACAAUGAACUGUCUCCUGAGUGUCUAGAUGGGGCACAAAGAUUUCUGAAACCAGAUGGCAUUUCGAUUCCAUCAUCGUAUGACCUCUUUUUGCUAGAAACCUGAAGUUACUAUAGUGAUCUGGUUGGUUAUUAUAUAUAUUUUUGUGCAGAUAUACAAGUUUUAUUCAGCCAAUAACAGCAUCAAAGCUAUACAAUGAUGUAAGAAGUGAACUCAAAUUUUUUCCCAUAUUUUGUCAAGUGCGAAGUGUCGAUAAGGACUUUUGUUGUGGCAGGUUAAAUCGCAUAAAGACCUUGCAAAUUUUGAAACUGCUUAUGUUGUCAAGUUGCAUCGAGUAGCAAGACUCGCUUCCUCUCAACCAGUGAGAUUCUAAAGAAUGUUUUCUGAAGUGCCUUCUUUACAAUAAAUUUUAAUUCACUGUAUUGUAGUUUGUACUUAAUUAUGUCUGUAAUAUUUGUUUUCAUUGCCCAUUACAUGCUUUCAUCUGUUCCUCUUCUCUCCAGCAUUACAUUCUGAUGAAAUUAUUAAUGCUUAUCAGGUAUUUACUUUUAAUCAUCCAAAUUAUUCAUCGAAGAAUAACAACCAAAGGUAUAAGAAACUGCAGUUUGUGAUACCAGCGGAUACAGGAUCAGCUCUGGUACAUGGUGUGUGAUUAAAUUCCUUAUUUCUUUAUCAUCUCAAACUUCUAUACAUUUCUUUGCUCUCUAAAAAGAGAGUACCAUGAAAUACCAAAAAAGAAAGCAGAAUCAUGGAAAAAAAUUUCCCGGCUUUCCCAAUCUUGUAAAUUUGCUUAUAUCCGAGCAUGAAAAACAAAUCUAAAUAUUCCCCUUCUUUUUUCAUCUUAGAGACCUUGUGUUCUAUAUUUUUGGACAGGAUUUGCUGGAUACUUUGAUGCUACCUUAUAUAAAGACGUACAUCUCGGUAUCGAACCAUCUAUGGCUACACCGAAUAUGUUCAGUUGGUACUUGCCAUUCUCUAUUCAUCAUCACACGAUCAUUCCCUUAGUUUUCCCCUUUUCCCCUCAGCAAGUUACAUCUUUCAUGGUCUACCAGGUUUCCAAUCUUUUUUCCACUGAGGAAGCCUAUAUGUGUUCCUCCAGAAUCACCUAUAGAAGUUCAUUUCUGGCGGUGCUGUGGUGCUACAAAGGUUUUCUAUUUUCCUUAUUUUCUUUAUCCCUGUUGUGUAUCUUAUGAAGGUAAAGAUGCGUGGAGACCCACACAACUAUAGGCUAUGUUGAAAUAGAGCCUCCUCGUCUCCUUUUAUUUGAGUUUAUCAUGAUCGGUUUGCUCGGAGAUAGCUAUGCGUUGUUCAUUGUUUAACGUACUAUGUUGUUGAGGGAGUCAGAGGGCUAUUUCCGAGACGACCUGCAGUUGAGGUCUCCAUGUUUCCUUACCUUUCACGAAUGCAAAGAAGUAUAUAUUUUUCCUACUGGAAUAUUGAGUUUUUGAAAGCUGAUUUCGUUUAGGGUAUAUUUCCGCCUUGUAGGUCUGGUAUGAGUGGUGUGUAACGUCCCCAUCUCCCUCGGCCAUCCACAACAGCAGCGGCCGGUCUUACUGGGUCGGCCUAUGAGCCCAGUCUUCGUAUUUGAAAUGUCUACUUUGCUUGCAGGACUGCUGAAUUAGAUACCACUCUUAAUUAUUUCGAAGGGGAAAAGGGGAAAAAAUGCUUCAGAGGACUGUAACUGGAUCAGUUUCUUGAGUACCAGUUGUAUUUGGAACACAAAUUUUGUAAUAUUAUUAUCAUUUUUUCUUUGAGACAUGGUCACCCAGCUGAUCCAAUCAUUGUUUGUCCAUUUACAAGCUGAUUUUAAGUGGUAUACAGCAACUGUAUGUUCGAGGAACAGUAGGCUGAGUUAUGAUAGGAAUUGAUGGAUUAUUUGCUUGAAACUGGUCGCAUCAUGUAUUUGUGGUGAGCGGUGUGAGGUUUAUGGGUGCAAUAUUCUAGUACCUCAAACGCAAGUGGAUGAUUUGUUGAGAAGGGAAAGGAAGGCCUGGGAAGCUUCGGGAAGGGUCCCGAUUCGACCAACAUAUAUGUAAUAUAUAUUGAAAAAAAAACAAAAAAAAACAAAGGAAACAACGCCCUGUCACCUCCUCAGUUCUCUCUCGACCGGUCAAAACACGACGUCGCCAUAAAACCUAAACGCGACGGGUUUCGUCCUCCCUUCCUCCCGUGUUGUUGGAGAGCCCUAACCCUAACACAAACUCUCUCUCUCUCUCUCCGUUGAUCGAUCUCACGGGCUCAUUCAUUGGCCUUUUCCCCUGUCUCCGAUCCCAUCCCAUCAGAUCCGAUCGAUCCUCUAGGAGAGAGGCUAGAGAGAUCACGAGAGAGAUCUCGAGAGAGAGAGGGAGAGAGAGAGAGAGAGAGAGAGAGAGGAAUAGAACAGUAAUGGCGGAGGAUGGGGCUGGGGCGGCGGCUGCGGCGGUGGCGGAGGAGAAGCAGGCGUCGUACAGGUACUGGGUGAGGGAGGCGAAGCAGGACGCAGCCCCACUCCCCGUCCCUCGCAAGCUCGACCCCGCCGACAUUCCCAAUCCCCGCCCCGCCACCGCCCUCGGCUCCGUCUGGAACCAGGUCUCCUCUUUCUCUUACCUCUUCCUCUAUCAGUGAUUGCGACCGAUAAUUGUUGCAAAGUUCCCAUCUUUCCCUCUAUUGCUGCUUAUGCUUCUAUGAUUUUGGUCUUUUGUUUUGUUUGCCGAACAAACAAAAUCUCAUGCAUGUUCCAGACGAUGAGAGAUAGACCGAGGGUAAUGUUGGAUUACAGAUGACAGAGCAUAUAUUCAGUUUCCAUCAAUCACGUCGUCUUUGAAAAUUUUUCCUUCUACUGAUCCCGAAUUGCUUUCUUUUGAAUGUGAUGCUGCAUUCUGGAGAAUUCAAAAUCUGCCCCUAUAUGUGAUGUGUUGUUGUAGGCAGCUAGAAUCGUGUUGUAGUUUGGCAUUUGAACUUUUUGUAAUUGCUUUUAGCAGUAAUGAUUGAAUUGUUAUGCGCGGCAAAAGCCGAGUCAUCCGAAAUAUUUAAUCAAUAUUCUGUACCCAUGGCUGUUGGUAUUUUGCGCGAAAUAAGCUAGGUAUCCAAUGCGACCUGCUGAACUAGAAAGCGCGGCAGUUGCUAAACGCUAUUGUCGUCAGAAGGUUUUUUUUCCCCCUCUGUUUUGAUGCGCGCAAUUAUACAGACUGAACUUGUCUUGCGUGUAAUCGCAGUCCUUAAAAUCUGUACUUUCUAUCUUUCUGCAGGCUGGAACGUGGGAGGAAAGAAACCUUAAUUCAUGGGCAACUAAUAGGAUAAAGGUGUAGUCUCUAAACACACUACUUUUUUGUUGUUUAGUACAUUUCUUAGUUACUAAAUAUUUCGUCAGUCUCCUAUUUUGUCGCAUCAACAAUAGUUUGAAUUGCAGGAGCUGCUUAGUUCCUUGGGCUCUUUGGAGUUCGCUAGUGGUAAAGCGUGCAUUGAUGAAGUAUCCAAAUGCUCGGGAGAUGUAAGCAUGCUCUUCAGCUCACUUUUUUAAUAUGUCUAGCUAAAUGCUUGUCAAGUAAUGAAGUCGGUGCUUUUCGCUGCGAGUUCUGUUAGCAUGUCCGUGUUAGUUAUUUUCCUUAUACUUAACGCGAUUAUUACUCUUUAUCGUGUAAGGCCAGGUAUUUUAAUAGUAAAUGAAAAUUCAAAGUUUUCGAAGCUUUUCGUUGAUAUGUUACUAUUCGGGUCUGGACAAAUAAUGCCAGUUUUUUUGGCGAGUCUGAUAAUCUUGUGUUUUAGUAUCCAAUCGGUGUUUGUUCUCAUCUGCCUUAUUUCUAACUUGUUUUGGAUAAUGAGCAGGCAUUCCUGGUCACUGUUCGCAACAAGAAAAGAGUUGGGUAUACUUAUGAAUUGACCUUGAAAUUUAAGGGUAUGAUAUGCAAAUUCUUCUUUUAUGUCUUUGAUUUUUUUUUUUCCUGUUUCCCCUUCUAGCUCUGUUGACUUUAUUGAGCUUACGAGAACCGCUCGACAGGUGAGUGGUUAAUCCAAUCGGAGAAGAAGAAGGUGAAGGGACAUUUGGACAUUCCAGAGUUUUCAUUCGGCGAGCUCGAGGACUUGGAGGUAAAACAAAAACUACACUGAAAGAAGAGCUUAAAUAUCAAAAUUGUCCUUUUUGCAUAGGCCGAUUUGCCUUAUUGUUCUUAGGUUUUGAUCCUAGCCGAUCCUGCUCUGCAGGUUGAAGUAAGAUUUAGUGAUGAGAAUGGUCUCGGAACAGAUGAUAAGACCAGGAUCUUUAAGGAUCUGAGGGCCUUUUUGCCACCCAUCCGUGAGAAAUUGCACAAGUUCGAAGAAGAGCUUAAAGAUAGGUAGAGAGAGGUAGAGUCACACGUAAUUGAGCAUGAUAUUUUACCACUUGGAGACUUGGUUAUGUUCUGUGUCAUUUGAGAAGGCAUGUAUCAGUAGGACCCAAUUUUUAAAUCCCACAAAGAUGGGGCCAUUGCGAAAGUUUUCAUGCUUGGCAAGGCAAUCAGGAUUUGAAUUUAUACACUGGAUGUUGGCAAGACAUUAUUGUUUCUGGCAUUAAUAAUACUCUUUUUUUUGUCUACCUGCCUCUUACAUUAUUUCAAUUCUUCGUCAUGUCGCUUACAAAUAGCAUGUAUUACGGUUAUAUAUUGGAUACUUUUGUGUGCCGUAAUAAAACUUGGUGUACUCUGUAUAUUGGCGAUUGUUCCCUAUUGUUAGUGCAACACGAAUGCUUGGAUUGACGUAUUGAAUUAGUAAGAAUUGAAAUGUCGCGUAAGCAGUGCGAAGGAGAAUCACUGCAGGCUAGAGUGUGAAUCUAUUUAAGAUCUGAAGUACGAGAUUCUACGCAGUCAAGCGUGACAUGCUGAGGGGAUUUGCUUGGGCCAAGUUUUGAAUCUAGCUAAGAUCUAAAAUACGAGAUUCAACAGCCCCGCACGAGCCGCGAACUCUUAAACGGGCCAGUGCAAUAACACCAAUACAGCCUCUUAAAGAGCCAACAAUAAUUUGCAUCCCACUGGGGCAAUGCCACACUGGACUGAAAGAGCCUGUUUGAUCAUACUUCUAUAUCUGAUUUGCUCGAAAACAUUCCCCUCGGAGAGGACUCCCGAAAGAAUACUUUGCGACACGCCAAUUAAAGCAGCAGCAGUAGUGAGUGCCAACCCGGUGCACACUACACGUCCAUGCGUCAGAUUCUCAAAUUAAACUCUUAUCCGUGGACUCCAAUCAUUUCAUGUAUAUCAUCUCCACUAAGACCUAACCACAUCUUUAGAAGAAGAGAUUUGAUCAAGUUUAGGUAUGUGUUCCCAUGAGAAGAUGGAUAUCAAACUACAUGAAUCUUGAUCUGCAUUUCCCAAAAAAGACCUUUAUAAAAUUGCAUGCAUCUUUUUAUAUUUCUCGUAAAGUGUCGUCAAAAAUAAUGAAGAAGGAGAUACCACUCACUUUUACAACAAGAAAUUGGGAUACUUUGCUAUUAGAAUGUUAGACUAUAAAUAAGCCAAAUCUCAAUAUCCCUAACCAACGCUGUAGAUGCUUUUUUAUGUAGUGUUGAAUAUAUAAGUUAAAAACACAGUUCUCUGACAGUUUAAAAAUUUGUGAAGAACAAUAAUUGUUUUAUAUAAUUUAACAAGGUAUAGGAGCAGUCCGGUAGAACUCCAAGCACUAUUUAGUUUCUCCUCUUUAAUUCAAGUCAUAAGUUUGGAGAAACAAUAAUUGUUUCACUUUAUGGUAGUGCUACAAGAUUAUAAUGUAAUGUUUUUUGGAAGAGGUCAAGGGUUAAACAAGCGUACAGAAUAAAAGCAUGGGAUGCGGCGCCAUCGUUCUACGUUUACACCCACUUGCACGUCUUUGGGUCCCCCCUCUUCUCUCGUUCCUCUCUCUUUCUCUCUCUCAACCAUGCACACACACACAAAUCCAUGUAGGGCUAUGUGUGUUGUUAAUUCCUUCUAAACAUAUGUAGAUGAAAGAAACUUGAAUAUGGUUCAAAGUCAUUGUUAUUUUAAUUCGACUUUGCGUAAAGUUCACCAUCCCGUAAUUUCCAUAAAUAAUUUGGUGACAUAGUUUUUACCGUUCAGAUUCUAUACUUAUGUAUCCUUGAAAGCAUGCAUAGAAUUAUCAUGCGAGAAAAGUCUUUUCUAUAAUAUAUUAGUAUAUUUCGAAAAUUAAUUCCUUAUAAAUAAUGUUUGGACCUUGAGCUACAUAGUGUUGUGAUAAUCAUAUAUGGCAAAAAAAAAAAAAAAAAAAUUGAAAUAGAGUGUAGUGAAAUGCCUUUCUUUCUUGCCUAAACUAUUUUAGUUUUUAUUUGUUUUAAUAUAUAACAUUACAUGGUACGAUUGACCGUCCCUAGCGUAAGUGGCAAAGGAUUUGAUGGUUGGUGUUCGAGGUUCCAAGUUCGAAUCAUAAUUGAUUCACAUUUCUAGCUAAGUUUAUUUCUAAAUAAAAUAAACGAAGCAGAUAGCAUAUUAUCUAUCUCUCUCAAAAAAAAAAUAAAAAUAUUAGAUGGUACGAACGAGAUUAAUUUGGUUUAUACCUCAUACUGGGACCACUUUGCCCAAUUGCCCUCUCUCCUUUCAUAUUCUCUCACUGUCUCCCAGCUUUUUAGGAGAGCAAUGGGAGGCAUUUUCUAUUGUUGCUGAAUCAUUUAUGGUUUCUAUUACAUAGGUUUAAAUAAGCUUAAAAUUAACACGACUUAGAUACAAAACUGCAGUUGCAACUCGCGAACCCGAAUUGCGACUCCUCUUCGCCCCACUUUUGUGAGAGAUGAACCAGGAGAUAGUACAAAUACACAAUUGGAAGAAACAGAAACCGACGAAAAAACAAAAAAGUUCCAAGCAUGGAACCUGGCACACAUGGUUAGAAGUGUUGGAUGUGGCCCACGGUUUAACAAGAAGUUAAAUGUAAUUUCAUUUUGAUUUUCUACCGACCACAUAAUAUUUCUCUUAUAGACUUUUUUCCGUGUUAAGCUUAUAUAUAUAUAUGUUGAGAGAAAAUAUAGUAAGCUAUUCGUUUCAUUCAUCAAGAGAAAUAAAUAUAGCAACAGAAUUAAGACAACAAGGUUUCGAAAAGGACAUGACGAAAGAGAAAUUGAGUAACAUAGAAAAGGGAAAGAGAGAAUAGAUGUUGAGCUCAUGUUAAUCACAAGUUCUGUACUAUAUAUGUAAAAAAAUCUUAUCUUCUUCGUUGCAUUCAAGCUUGUUUAUGUAUGACAUAUAUAUAUAUAUAUAUAUAUAUAGUCUGGCUGUAAUACUAUCGAUAGCAUCAAACGCUUAGUGCUAUCGAGUUUUCUACCGUUAGAUUUAACCUUUUGACUAUUUUCAUUCGUUAAAUUAUACUAUUCAGCCAACAACUUACUCAACCCUAGAAGGCCCACGUCAUCCUAGCCGUACAUUCCUUCAUCCAAGGGUCGAAAACCUAAUAGCACCGCUAGCUUGGUGCUAUUGGUAGUAUUCUAGUCUAAUUAUAUAUAUAUAUAUAUAUAUAUAUAUAUAUAUAUAUAUAUAUAUGAAGGAUAUUCUUUAAAAAUUUCACGAGAAAAUAAAUGUUAAAAGAGCUGGUGAUGAUAUGAGUAAUUUUGUGGCAAAAUGGUUAAUUAUUAUGUUUAUCACAAUAAUAAAAAUUGGAGAGCUACUUUUGAUGAAUAUUGAAUGGACAAAUAAUUUGGCUCCUACUAUGUAUCAGAUAUAUUCUCUUUUCUUAUACAACAUACGCGCGCCCACCAUCAAAUAUUCCACUUAAUUAGGACGGUCCAUUUUAACAAGAAAAUGACACUAAAGUAAGGGAAUAGGCCUAGAUUCAUUUUCCCCUACCAAAAAAAGUUUGUGAUGGAGACAUGAAAUCGACUAAUCCCCCAUUUCCUCCCUUAAUUUGUCGCGAUUAUCAUCAUCAUCAUCAUGGACUAUUAAUUUUACUAAAAUCAGAUGCUGCGAUUUAUAUAAUUGCAGUUGGAUCCUAGAGUUUUGGACCCAAAAUAUGUCCCUCAUUGGCAUCAAUGACCUAAUCCAAAUUGGACUCAAAUCCGAUAAACUCGUCGCUACUUUGACCUGAUCAAACCUCUCUGAGCCCGAUUAUCGAUCAAUGAGUGGACUGAACCAGUCUCAUUUGAUUGAAAGAAUUAGAUUAUCAGAAAAUUAACACACAAAAACUGAGUCGACAUGAGAUGAUAUUCCAUAUAUAUAUAUUAAUCAACAUUAUUAGACCAACAUACAUUCAUGGUCCACUGAUUAGCCACAGGAACCCACAAAUUGGCACAAAGUGGGGAAAAAAAAAAAAAAAUAAUAAAUAUAUAAAUGCAUCUACUAUACGACACUGCUAAAAGAUUCUUGCGCCAAGUUGAUGCUUAAUUUCAUAUUAUUUUUUAUUGUUGUCAUCCAUAUAAUCCUUGCUUCAUAUGUAAUAAUAUAAGCUCACGACCACUUGUGACAUGAUGCAACACUGUGCUGCGUACAGUAAUUAAAGAAAAUGCAGUCUCACACACACACACACACACACACACACACACACACACACAUAUAUAUAUAUAUAUAUAUAUAUAUAUAUAUAUAUGUAUAUAUAUAUAUACUAAAAUAAACUUACAUGAUUGUGGUGAACAGUUAAUUAUUCUAAUACUUAAAAUAUGAACAAACAAAGGGCAUCAGGGUGCUUGAAGUGAACAAUAAUAUUAUAUAUAGAGAGAGACAGAAUCUACUACAUUGUAGCAAUGUUGAAAACUUUUGCAGUAAAUUAUAAGAAGCAGCAACCAAUUAUAUAUAAAUAGUCUUGAUAUUACAGCUAAAAUAUAUAUGCACAAGUGAAAAUCAGAUAAUCAUCUGUAUGUAGUGACACAAGAUAACAAAAGGAAAAAAAAAAAAAAUUAUGAGACUGAAAGAAACAUACAAAAUAUUUUUUAGAAAAUAAAAUAAUUAUAAUUUUUCUUUUUUCUUUUUUUUUUUUUCAAUCAUAACAAUGAAAGGGGUGGGCCAUGGGAAGGUGAUCAGUUCAUAAACUUCAAUCACUUCUCUCCAGAAGAGAUCAAUUCAGUUUUAAUUAAAUAUUAAUCUACAAAUAUGUAUGAAAUAAAAAGUUUUGAUUGUUUCGUAUAGGGAGUCAAAAAAUAUUAGAUUUAUAUACAAAUAUAAAAUAUGUCUAUAUGACAUGUAAUUAUCAAUAAUAUAUAUAGUGAAAAACUCAAAUAUGAGGCUUUAAAUUUUUAAACAAAUAAAAGAAAAGAUUAAAAAAAGGGGAAACACGUGAUACUAAAUUACUUCGCCUCUCUUAAUUAGUAAGAAGCCAACACGUUUGCUUUUAAAAAAGGCGUAGUAAAUCAGGAUACGUCUCUCCCGCUCCUUCACUGCGCCCGCCACCCCCAAAACCUAGGAGCCUUUUUUCACCCUUUCUUCUACUUUUAUUCUUCUAUUUUUAUUUUUUUCUUUUUUAUUUAAUUGCCCGUAACGAUUUGCAUAAUUUUAUAUAGUUUAUGAGUCAAUUUUAUAAUACAAUUAUACUUCUAUUAAUUUUUAUUUUAAUCACCUUUUUAAAUAAAUUAAUUAAGCAUAAUUUUUGAAGCCUAAUGUGACUCGAACUGAAAAUCUACGACUCUAAUAUAUAUUAUAUUAAGUUAUAUGAAACAACCGUUUAUAUAUAUACAAUAGUUUAAAUUCGUAGAGAGCUGUAUUUUUUUAUUUUAUAUUUAAUAAAAGUUAAAAAUUAGAGAAUGAAACCAGCAAAAUAUCUAAUUUUAAUUAAAAGUUGCCAAUUUUUUAAUUUGAACUCGUUUAGUUAUCUUUUCACAGGCACGAAAUGAAGGUCAAGUUUAAUCAACUCCAAUUUUGGAUACACCACAGCAUUAAUAUGUCUAAUUACAUAAUUAUUAUUAUUAUUAUUAUUAUUAUUAUUAUUAUUACCAUUGAUUGUUGUACCUAUCCAUGGUUUGAUGUGUUGGUGUCUCUGUCUUUUUCCAACUCUCGUCACCAUGCGACUUGCGGUAGCAAUUGUUCCAGACUAAGUUUUGCUUCUCUCUUUUUUUUCUUUUUCUUUUUUUUAGUUUUGAAAAAAACAUCCACAAUGAAUGUUUUUUAUUUUUGAGAGAUAGGUAGCACGCUACCUGCUUCGUUUAUUUCAUUUAAAAAUAAACUUAGCUGGAAAUGUGAAUCAACUAGGAUUCGAAAUGAAUGUUGGAGAACAGUUAGUUUCAUUAAAUAGUCAAAAAUCCUGGGGUUAAAAACAAGUGUUGAUUAGUAAGUAAUUCUCAAUAUUGGGAAACUAUUUAUUUCAUUUAUUUUCUCCGUUUAGUAAUAUUUAAUUAGACUGCGACACAACUCAAAAUUACACUAAACUCUUUACCAUUUUACAUAGUUUUAAAUUUCUUUUUUUGAACUUGGGAGUGAGGGGGCCACACACCAAAGCGAAGGAGUCAUUUGUUUUCUUAUUAUUCUAUUGACUAAUUACAUUCUCUAUAACCUGUGCUUAUCUUUGUCUUUAGGAAAAAGACAAUGUUAAAUAAAAUAUAAUUAUUAGAUAAGAUUGUACGUGCAUUUUUUACCAACAAACCAUUCUGAAAUAGAUCCCUCUUUUAUAUAUAUAUAUAUAUAUAUAAAUUUUAUUAAAUUUGAUAGGCUCGGUAAACAUAUCUAUUGAUUAUUUCAACUUAUUCAUUAAAUAAUUAAAAUUUGAGGGGGCAAUUCUCAAAUAGCCAAUAGGUGAGAGGGUCUCCAUAAUUUUAUUAGCUAUAAGAUAAUGAAAUAUCCAAAUAAACGAACGUUUCGUUUGGUAUAACGGUGGAUAAGAAUACGUGUUUCAAUAUCUUGAAAAGCUUACAAGUUUUAAAAAUAUAUUUAAUUUUUUUUAAGUAUCAUAAAAUUACGAUAAAAAUCGCCACAGAAGGAGCAUAUUACCAUUUAUUUUUCUAAUAAGAAUUUUCACCAUAAUUUUAUAAAAUUGAAAAAUUAAAAUAAGGUGCUUUCAAAUUAUUUUAAGGCCAAUUUGCAUAAAAAAUCCACUUAUUUUGGGCUUUUGCAAAAUCGGGCCACCUUUUUCAUUUUUGCAGAUUCGGUCCGCUUUUUCAGCAAACUGACCAAAAUACCCUUAUUAUUUUUUCUCUUUCCUCUUUCUCUCUCUUCUUCGUUUCUCUCGUUCUUUUUUUUUUCUCGCCGGUAGAGCGGAGGCGGAGCGGAGGCAGAAACGGUCCGUCUCGCCUCUCACCCUCAUACUCUCGCCCUCGCCCUCGCCCUUGCCCUCGUCCAUGCACCCCCCACCUUCCUCGCCUCCGACCCCGUUAAGGCCGCGCCGCGACUUUUUUUUUUUGCUUUUUUCUUUUCUUUUCUUCUCCGACUCUUCUCCACCGUCUCCGACGACGACGCCUCUCGCCCUUCCCCGCCCUUCUCAUCUCUCCCUCUCCCUCAUUUUCUGCCGCCUCCGACGACGAUUUAUCUUCGCCGGCGCCGACGUCGACACCGUAGAGGUCACUGCGGCGCUACAGCCUCGGAGCGGGGGGUCCUUAGCGGCGUCGUCACCGGCGCCGUCACCGGCGCCGUAGCUGUUGGCAGAGAAGGUGACAAAAAAAUUAUAGAAAAAACAGAAAAAAAAAAUAAAGAUAAAAAAUUAUAUAAAAAGAAGGAUGAAGAUGAAAUUACAUCGUUAAUUACAAAAAAAAUUAUAAGUUGCACUAUUUAAGAUGUAAACUGCUGCUUUAAGAUAAAAAUUAUACUCUUUGAACGAAAAUUAUACUAUUUUUUAUCUUAAACUGCAUCCUUUUAAGUGAUAUUUAUACUGUUUCUCCUCUUGUUGCACUGUUUCUCCUGUUGUUGCACUAUUUCUCCUCUUAUUUACACAGAAAUGGUGCAACAAGAGGAGAAACAGUGCAACAAGAGGAGAAACAGUAUAAAUAUCUCUUAAAAGGGUGCAGUUUAAGAUAAAAAAUAGUGUAACAAGAGGAGAAAUGGUGCAACAAGAGGAGAAACAGUGCAAUUUUUUUUUUAAAGAGUGUAAUUUUCAUCUUAAUGGAUGCAGUUUACAUCUGAAAGAGUGUAAUAAGAAGAAAAAUAGUGUAAAUAUUUCUCAAAGAGUGUAAUUUUCGUUUAAAGAGUGUAGUUUUCAUCUUAAAGCUGCAGUUUACAUCUUAAAUAGUGCGACUUAUAAUUUUUUUUGCAGUUAACGAUACAAUUUGAUGUUCAUCAUUCUUUUUAUAUAAUUUUUUAUCUUCAUUUUUUUUUUCUGUUUUUUCUAUAAUUUUUUUUUAUCACCUUCUCUGCCAACAGCCACGGUGCCGGCGACGACACCACUAAGGACCCCCGCUCUGAGCCUGUAGCGCUGCAGUGACCUCCACGGUGUCGACGUCGGCGCCGGCGAAGAUGCAUCGUCGUCGGAGGUGGCAGAGAAUGAGGGAGAGGGAGAGAUGAGAAGGNNNNNNNNNNNNNNNNNNNNNNNNNNNNNNNNNNNNNNNNNNNNNNNNNNNNNNNNNNNNNNNNNNNNNNNNNNNNNNNNNNNNNNNNNNNNNNNNNNNNNNNNNNNNNNNNNNNNNNNNNNNNNNNNNNNNNNNNNNNNNNNNNNNNNNNNNNNNNNNNNNNNNNNNNNNNNNNNNNNNNNNNNNNNNNNNNNNNNNNNNNNNNNNNNNNNNNNNNNNNNNNNNNNNNNNNNNNNNNNNNNNNNNNNNNNNNNNNNNNNNNNNNNNNNNNNNNNNNNNNNNNNNNNNNNNNNNNNNNNNNNNNNNNNNNNNNNNNNNNNNNNNNNNNNNNNNNNNNNNNNNNNNNNNNNNNNNNNNNNNNNNNNNNNNNNNNNNNNNNNNNNNNNNNNNNNNNNNNNNNNNNNNNNNNNNNNNNNNNNNNNNNNNNNNNNNNNNNNNNNNNNNNNNNNNNNNNNNNNNNNNNNNNNNNNNNNNNNNNNNNNNNNNNNNNNNNNNNNNNNNNNNNNNNNNNNNNNNNNNNNNNNNNNNNNNNNNNNNNNNNNNNNNNNNNNNNNNNNNNNNNNNNNNNNNNNNNNNNNNNNNNNNNNNNNNNNNNNNNNNNNNNNNNNNNNNNNNNNNNNNNNNNNNNNNNNNNNNNNNNNNNNNNNNNNNNNNNNNNNNNNNNNNNNNNNNNNNNNNNNNNNNNNNNNAAAAAAAAAAAAAAAAAAAAGUCGUGGCGCGGCCUUGGCGGGGUUGGAGGCGAGGAAGGUGGGGGGUGCGUGGACGAGGGCAAGGGCGAGGGCGAGGGCGAGGGCUAGAGAAUGAGGGUGAGAGGCGAGACGGACCGUUUCCGCCUCCGCUUUGCCGGCGAGAAAAAAAAAAGAACGAGAGAAACGAAGAGGAGAGAGAAAGAGUAAAGAGAAAAAGUAAAAAGGGUAUUUUGGUCAGUUUGCUGAAAAAGUGGACCGAAUCUGCAAAAACGAAAAAGGUGACCCGGUUUUACAAAAGCCCAAAAUAAGUAGAUUUUUUAUGCAAAUUGGCCUUAUUUUAAAUCUUAGUAUAAAAUAAAUAUUUCUCAAUUCCAAACUAAAGCCUCGAUAAACAAUAAAUAAUUCAGUCGCCAUUUCUCUCCUAUCAAUUCUCCCACUUUGCUAUAAAUGGACAGAGGGCAUUUUGGGAAUUUCGCGUCUUUCAUUUCCCUUCGAGGUAAAACAUAAGGGCAACAUUCACAACAUUACAAAGAGAGAGAUAGAGCUCCAAUCAUUUUGUUUAGAGAGAGAAAAGGAGAGCGAUUUAAAGAGAAACGUGUAUGAUUCGGGAUCUACACUGGUCGAUUGGUGUGGCUUCAGGUGAGAGAUUCUUAUCUUCUUUCCCUACUUUUUCAAUUUUUUGCAUAGAUUUUCUCCUUUUUUUUUUCUUUUUUUUCUUUUUUCCCUUUUUUGAGCCAUUUGGUGUAAGGGUGUUAAUGGACUCAUCAUCUUAUUCAAAAUGAUGCAAAUUACGGGUUACAAAUUGUUUUUUUUUCCUUAAAAUUUAGUAGGGUUUGAUAAGAGAAAAUGUUUGAUUUUUUUCCUUUUUAAGUCCACUUAUGUCAAAAUUAUUUAGGAGGGAAACUGAAAAAUUUUGGUAAAAAAAAUGUAUGAAGUACCCCUAAAUUUCUUUUUUUUUUUUUUUUUUUUUUUUUUGGUGAUUUGAGCUAUUUUAGGUAGUUAAAUUUGAGAGUUUGUUAAAGCUGAUAACUUCAUAAGCUAUUCGUCAUUUAUAGUCAUAAAUUGUUGUGGAUUUAUUUCCUAUAAAGUGAUUAGAGCUAUUAAAAUUAACUGAAUCACUGUUGGAUUUAGUAAAAUCCCCUGUUUUCUUUGGCUUAAAUCACUCAAUUCAGAAUAUUAGCCCGUAGUUGAGAGAUUUUUUGAACAUUUAGUAAAAUCCCAUGUUUUCCAUUUGUGAGUUUCAAUUGAAGAAGAAUAAAGCUAUGGAGCCAUAGCUUUAAUUUUGCUUCAUCGUGUCUCUUUCCUACUCAUGAUUACGAGGAGUAAUGAAUUUUAGAUAGGUCAAUCAACGAAGUUCUAGUGCAACGAAUCCGGCGUAAACCCUCUAGAAGUUCUAGGACAUUCAUAGUUAUGUUACUCUCUUUUUUUUUGAGAGAAAAUUGUUAUGUUACUCUUCAUAGUUAUGUUACUCUCUUUUUUUUUGAGAGAAAAUUGUUAUGUUACUCUUCAAGUGUUAAUUUGGAGAAGUAUGCUCUUGUUGACGAGCAUUAUACAUGUGCAUACUUCCUUCUGUAAGUAAUUCUCUGUAAGAGUUGCAGUUUUCUGAGAAUGAAUUCUUUCCAGUGUUUAACAUGCAAAAUGAUAUUAGAAAAGUUCCCAUGUUACUGCCUCAUUAGCCAUAAUUCCUUAACUCACUUCAGACCAUCUCUUUAAGCAAAUGUUCAUCUCGUGAUAUUUAUACAAGUACAUUAUGCAGGCUUAAGACGGAUCACAUUCUUCGGUAUCGAGUUUAUUGAAUCAGUUAACGACCAUGAACAGCCACAGCAUUGUUACGGUUAAACAAAGCAACUCUCCAGAGAGAACUGCACACUAUUGUCAAGCUGCACCUUCUAAAAUAAGCAAAAUUUUCAAAGGCCAACAAGACCACCAAAGUCUAUCAGGCAAUAAUUCGUCAUCCUCAGGCGAAUUUUCCUACCUUCUUAACCCGAAAUUAAGCCCUGAAUCUGAUUCGGAAAGUCCGAUCUCACACGUAUCACUUCCCCACUAUUCGGAACCCAUAUUUUCUCGCUCGUCUAUGUUCUGUACCAGUCUAUUCUCAUCAUCCUCGAAGAGCUCGGACUCCUGCAGGAGACUAAGUAAUUUGCCUUUCUUGCCUCAUCCUCUCAAAUGCGAGCAACAGACUUCAGCUGCUCAGGAUUCAGACUCUCCGUUCCACUUCACUAGUGAUAUUAAUAACACCCCGAAUAGCGAAGAUGAGCAUUCGGAUGAACUGAUGAAGGACUUUCUUAACCUUUCUGGAGAUGCUUCGGAUGGUAGCUUCCAUGGAGAGAACUGCGACAGCAACAGCUUGGCUAUAACUGAGCAAAUGGAGCUGCAAAUUUUGUCGGAACAGCUUGGAAUAGCUAUCACAGACAAUGAAGAAAGUCCUCGAUUGGAUGUGAGUUUGUCGAUGCUUUCCAAUUUUUGUUUCCUUUUUUUUCAGUUUAUACAUUGAAAGUCACAGGCAAGAAUAGUAUCACCAGUGUGUUUCUUUUGGCUUGUAAUUGAGGAAGUCACAUAUUUUCAUACAUACACUUCAAGAGUUGGCAAAAUCAGAAAUACCUUUGUAUCUACUCAAGAAAAGAAAGCUUUAAAAGUAUCAUCAUGUAUGCCCUGAAAUUGCCUCUGUGCUUUUCUUAAAUGCCUUCUGGAAAGGGUAAUUUUUGGCACUUGUAGUAUCAUUACUAUGGCAUUUGUAAAAUUUCCAACUUUUGACUGGUAUGCGCAGAACUUUUCAUGCUGUUGAGGGGCACGGUUCAAAUUAUCUUAAUAUGUUGACCUAAAAAAAUCCCUUCACAGUAAGACUUGCCCUCUUAUGACUUCGAGUACCAACAUGUCAAUUACAAACCAAUUCGAUGGCCUAAAAUGAAAAUCUGAUUUACCUCUUGUUUGUUAUGUAUAGGAUAUAUAUGAGAAACCACAGAUUUCGCCUCAACCAGUGUCAUCUUGUCAGAACCAGAACCCUCAGCCUUCAGGAUCUCCUAUCAAAGUUCAGUUACAUUCCACUCCCUCCGCAUCUCGGGCCACAACUAAUAAUAAUAAACCAAGACUAAGGUGGACUUUGGACCUCCAUGAGCAUUUUGUAGAAGCUGUGAACAAGCUUGAUGGGCCCGACAGUAAGUUAAUUACUUUGGUUCAUUAGAAAUUAAUGCAUAUCAUUGUCUAUUUGUUCACUCAUCCCCUUUGUUUUUUUGCUUUGUUUUCUUUCAUGCAGAGGCAACCCCAAAGGGUGUACUGAAGCUUAUGAAUGUAGAGGGUUUGACCAUCUAUCAUGUAAAGAGUCACUUACAGGUAUUUCUACAGAAAUUGUUUUUCUUCCAUGGAGGAUUGAAAUUUUCUUAGAGAUUUAAUCCUGAUGAUAUCCUUUUAUAUGUGGGUGUGGCAUGCAGAAGUAUCGGCUCGCCAAAUAUCUUCCGGAGACAAAAGAAGGUAAAUACUCUAAAAAGGAAAUUCUGCUUAGGUAAAUAAACACAUGUUUACUGUUUAUUUUGGAAUCAGCUGUGUGUCUAGCUCCACAAACUUAAAGCUUGUCUUAAGUUCCCAGCCCGUGUCAAUGAACUAAUUAAAGCCCAGCCCUCUCAAACUACUAAUUCAGUUAGUAACUUGUAGAGUCAUACUGCUACUGUAUUUAUACAAGGUGAUUUGUAGUCGCAUGAAAACGAGCUCGAGUAUCCAAAGUCAGUGUUGGGCUUUUGCUAUUCCUCCAAUCUUUCUGUAGAAAUGAAUAGUUCCAACUUCAAACUAGGAUUUGUAAAUGUUAUUUAAAAUGAGUGAUGAUGUUCUACCAACUAGGACAAAUUAUUAUUAUUUUUCUUUUUUUUUUUCCAGUGAUUUGCUUUUAUUAGUUUGCUGUUAUUUCCGUUGGUGUUAGUUAAAAACAAAGUAAAACUAGUCUUGAAAUUCGGCAUGCUAAUAUGGUUGUUGGUUAUGAAUGCAUGUUCAUCAAGACAAGAAGUCUUUGCCUGUAGAAGAUAAGAAAGUGACACCAGUUACUAACGACAGCGGAGGGAAGAAAAAGUAAGCUGAUUCUCUCUCUCUCUCUCUCUCUCUCUCUCUCUCUCUGUGCAUGUGUGUGUGUUAGAUUUUUUGUUCUUUUUUCCCUUAUUUCCCUCCCUUUGGUAGGAACAUGGAAAUGACAGAAGCUCUUCGGAUGCAAAUUGAAGUUCAGAAACAGCUGCAUGAACAACUUGAGGUGAGUAUUACAUAUACCGAGCUGUAGCUGUGAACUUUGAGAUUUUUCAAAAUUUUGUUACCUAAGAUGCUAAGGUAUUACAUGUUUCUUUGUUUGAGCGGCAAAAUAAAAUGCUAAGUGUGCAAGUAAUUUACUAAUUUUCUGACAAAUGACAUUUCUCUGAUGCAACAUAAAAAAGAGGUAGGAUAACAGUAAUGUACAUCAAGAAAUAUAAAAAACUAAUAGUACAUUGAUUUGUUCCACUAGUGGCUGCCAUAUGUUGACAUAGUUGUUCACUCUCUGCUGUCAGAUACAGAGGGCACUUCAGUUACGCAUCGAAGAGCAUGCAAGAUACUUGCAGAAGAUCCUGGAAGAGCAGCAAAAGGCAAGCAAUUCCUUCGCCUCCUCAAUGGGAGUUUCUGCAGAAGCGCAGGUGGAGUCUCCCGACAAAACCUCACAAGAUCAAGAUGAAUCAAAGACAGACUCAGUUUCUUCACCGACCGCUCUGAAGCAUAGAAUUCCCGAAUCAGAUGGUGACUGCAAGCCACCGGAGGAUCAUAAACGGGCAAGACUUCAAGUUGAGCAAUGAGGAGCUUCUUCAUAGCCGCCAAUUCCGUGCCACGACAGCUUUGCAAUCCCACCUUAUUAAGGAAGUGACAGAACAUUCUAUGGACACGAUGUUGUUGUUCGAUGGAAUUAGUUUUCCAUCAGUGUAUAUAUAACUAAAAUUACGUGGGAAACGAAUCCGAGAGCUGAGGGUUAUAUUGCAUUCAUUGCUCUUUCUGUAUAUCGAAGGCUCAAUUCCCACUGCUGAGAUUGUUUCAUUUACAGUGAGAUUUCAAAUUUCAUCGGGACGAUAAUAUUCUGGUCGUUCACAUAGUUUAAAUAUAGGUAAAAAUGUACAGAAUAUAUCAGAACUAUAGAUUUUUUUUAAAUCAGUUAUUCAAUCCUCUGAAAUUUUGAUUUUAUUACUAAACUUUUCAAUAUGUUUGAUUUGAUUCAGCUUUGAUUCAGCCAAUGAUACCUUGAUUUAAAAUUUAAGCAAGUUACUUGGCUUAAUUAAUUUAUAGUUGUAAGAAUUAUAUAAGAAAUAUAUUAACUAAAUUUUUAAAAAUAACCGACACAUUCAAAUUUUCAAAAAAAAUUUUUUUUUUUGAGGAAAAAAAUUUAAAAUUUUGAAUUUUGAGUAAAAAAUAAUUUCAGAAUAACUCCUAAAAUUAUUCAACUAUAUAUCUUUUUAAAUCAUAUACCAAUAGAAAUGAACAUAAAUGGCUGAUUUAAAUUCGCAAAAUAUUUGUCGAACAUUUUUAAUUUUUUUUAAAAUGUUAAAAUUAUCCCAGCGUUACGCUCACCGCCCCGUAGGUGUAACCCCGGAGUUUUCCCAUGAAAUCUCCACGACAAAAAAUAUUUUGUGGGGAAACAGAUGUUACUGUCGGGGCGGUGAGCUUACCGAAGAUGACCAGACUCCCAACUCUUCUGCUUUGAACUAACCCAUCUAAAAUAUGGCCCGGCCCAAUCUAGGACCAAAUCUGGAUAUGAUACGGGCUAAAUCAAUUGACUACUUGACUCAAGUACAUGGGCUUUUACCCAGCCCAAAUACAUAAUUGAUAGGUGUCUUUUUUUGGAUUAGUUUGUUUAUUGCCGUAAAUUCAAAUAGGUUUUAAAUUUUAGUUUUGGCUUAAAUUUUAAAAUAAGAAAAUAUUUUAAAAUUUUGAAUUUUGAAUUUUGAAUAAAAAUAUUUUGAGAAUGACUCAUAAAAUUCGUUCUAUAUAUAUAAAUAAAAUUUUUAAAAUCAUAUAUUAAUAGAAAUGAAAAAAAAUUAUAAGAUAAACGGCUGAUUAAAAUUCACAAAUUAUUUGUCGAAAUUUUUUUAAAAAAAUUUAAUUAAAAUGACUAUUUUUGGGUUUCGUGCAUCUAUCUAAAGUGUGGCUAUGUGGCCCUCGACCACAGCGUUACGGUCACCGCCCCGUAAGUAUAACCACGCAGUUUUCUGAUGAAAACUCCACGAAAAAAAUUAUUUUGUGAUGAAACAGAUGAUAAGGCUUGGGGGGUGAGCUCACCGGAGGUGACCAGACUCCCAACUGCCUAGCAAAAUGUAGCCCGGCCCAAUAUGGGACUAAAUAUGGAUCGAGACGGGCCGAAUCUAUUGACUACUGGACUCAAUAAUGGGCCUUUACCCGGCCCAAUCGUUUUUUGGGUUCACUGGGCUAAUAAUGCCUUUGGAUGGAUCGGGUGUUUAUCAAAAUCCGAUGAAAUAAAAAAAAAAAAAAUCUAAUACAAAAAAAGUAAAACAUCAUGUCUCGGGUAUCUAAUGCUAUUUUAUCACACUUGAUAGUUUCUAUUUAUAUCAGAGGAAAACCAUGAUAAAAUGAACAAAAAUGUAUUGUUUGAUCCAGCAAUUUUUGUACACGGUGAGUUAAUGUAACUGCUGAGUAUUUACAUGAAUAUUCUUACACCAGUAAAUCGGCACUCUGUAGACAAAAAACUCGCACCGAACUAAAGACAAUCAAAAUUAGCAAUUUUUGGAAGACCCUGAUUUGCAAAAUUGUCAGUAGACAAGAAAUAGCCAUGUCUCAUGAGGGCAGUUGCAAGGAGUAUAAUAAUGUUUAUAAUGUCAUUGUGAAUCUUCUGAAGACAUCAGUUUAGCAACCCUUAUUCUCGCGGAGGCGCAUCUUCUGCAAAACAUAUACGUUGAUUAGGCACUAUCACAUAUUGAUACCGAUGUUGCUCAAUAUUAAAUCUUUACAUAGAAAAGGAAGAGAGAUUUUAAAAGUUUCGAGUAACUCACCGGCAGAUGUAGGAUCAACAUGUACGAAAAAACUGGCAGCUACAAUAAGAUAGCAAAGAAUGAGCAUUAAGCCCUUGAAGUAGUUAGAAGUUCCAUCCUGAAAUUAAAGUAAUACAAUAAUAUUAGACAUAUCAAAGUAUAAAGAUGAAAAUAGGUGCUUAAAUAUUGUGGAGGAGACAAGUGAAACAAACACUAGAAACUUCUUGUCUUAAAGCUAGCCAAAAUUGCUUAACAGAGCGGUGAAUUAUAACCGAGCAAAUUUCUUCUAUAGAACAAACAAAUAGUUACUGUUCUCCAUUGCGGAAAAUACUUUACAUUUUUGAAGAUCCUUAAAAUUAUACAUUAAAUAUGAAUGAACUUGUCGUUUCUCAUCUGUGGUAUACUACCUGUAGCAUGAAUGCCACAACUAUUACAGUUAUGAAGAGAGUGGCUGUCUCGAAAAGCUGAAAAUUUAAGUCCAUUGGUUGUCCCAUCAUCCACCCAAUUACUACACAGAACGGAAUCUGUGGAGCGAAAAUAUUUCACAGUAUUAAUCCUCAGUUAAAUCGAAUAAAAACUUAAAAAGUUGUGAAUUCAUGUACCCGUGGGGCCAGUAAAGACAAACUAAUGAAAUGACACCCAGUGAAAUGCUGGAUAAUCCAAAACGCAUUAUUUCAUUCUUACAAAUUAUUUGCACUCCAAAGAAGUUCGCCAAGAGAAGAUGCUACAUUUUCUAAAUGAUUGAAGAAAAAGAAAUGAGUUGAUAAACCUACCCCGAACAUUGAUAUUUGUGUAGAUGAUCCAAUUGCCACUCCGAGAGAAAUGUCCUGGUUGAAAAUUCCGAAGCCCUAGACUUAGGCAGACAACUCCAAGGAAAAUAUUUUAAAGACUCGUAAACUGAAGAGACUUACAAGUUUGUCUUUCAUUGCAAACAUUAUGGCGCUUGCAUGCUCUGCAGCAUUCCCCACAAUCGGAAGUAAAACAACACUAAUAAAAGCAACUGGUAUCCUCCAUGCAGUUGAGGCCCCCUGUGAUAUGCAACAUUUCAAAACAAUGCACGAAAAAUUUGAUGAAACCUUAACAAUAUAUGCAAAUACAUAAACUUAGUUGUUCUUGGCCUGUCUUUUAGAAUAGCUAUGGCAGGAAAUAACAGCACCCAGCCAGGCAUUCUGUCAACAAAAUUUGCGAGUUAAGGAAAAUUUUGAUUUGUUGCUACGGCUGUAUGUGCUUUAGUAGUCACUAAUAAGUGCUGACCUAAAGUGCUCGGUGUGGAAGCACUUACAAGUGGGGUGAUCUUUCGGCUUAGACUAUUUAAUUGCUCUUCUGAACACAUACUUUAUAGGCAAAGCCUCAUGUAAUUGUAACCAAGUUGAUGGACAACGUCUUGAUGACACCAUGCGUUAUGUAACUCGGAGGAAAACAACCAGAAAGAAGUUUGCAAAGUAUAAGUGACAAAGAAAGUGAGCAGAUAUAUUACCUCUAUAGCAUCAACUAAGUAUUCAGAGAGUACAGAAAUCCAAGCAGUCAAAACAGCAAGCCAGAUGAUCGCUUCCCAUUUCGAAAUCUCAGCACUUUCUUCGUCAUCUGCGCCCUGUUCAUUCGGACUUCCUCCCUUUCUCAAAUUCAGAGAACAUCAGUUAAAUUUCUAUAAAAUCAAAGUCAUACUAGAAAGUUCAAAAGAAGGAAGGCAAAUAAAUCACCAUUUUUUUAAGCUAGAAGAGCGCAAAUAGAUGCAUGCAACACAAAGAGUUUGUGUGUUGUUCUAACACGAUAGCUCCCACCAUUUAUUUAUAAUGCAAUAGUUUUCACUUUCCAGUGCAAAGGUAUGCUAGAUGAAAUUCAACAAUGAACUUCGAUUGCCGAGAUUCUUAAGAAAGUUAGCGUAUUCACUGUAAUUACAGCUGUUUAAAUCAUUUGAUCAAGAAAAGGCCUACCUCGUUAACUGGACAAUCUAAAUAUUCCUGACUUUUCAACUGGAAAAAGAGAUAGGAGGCGUAAGCCACAAGCAUAAUGCAGCUGCUGAAUCUUGACAAGGCUAAUUCGGACUUGCCAAACUGGACUUCAGUGUGGGUGUAGUGGAGGACAGCCGGAAAGAGUAAGCCCAUGACUGCCAUUAAAAGCAAUCCAGAGUUCAUUACAGCCGAUGCCUGCGCACAACAAUGUAAGCAAUCUAACCUUUCCAAGUGCUAUAUUUAAAAAAUGAAACUGAUAAUCAAGAAAUUAACGAGUACCUUAUUGAAAACUUGCUCCUUUUUAUCGAUGAAAACAAUCCCUCCACUAAAGAAUGCACAGCCAAGGACCAGAAGCAUGUUUGACAAGAUAGAUCCAAGUAAUGAUUGCUGGACUACUCGCAACAUUCCGUUUCUCAGAGCAUGGAUUGAUAUGAUCAAUUCUGUUGCGUUUCCGAAGGUAGCAUUUAGGAGGCCACCAACUGCAUGCGCAAAAUGGCAGUCUUCAGCAAUACUGCUGGACUUGCAAUGACUAAUAAUUUCCUUUAAUACUACGAUGGUACAUUGCCCAAAGUGAGUCCCACAAAGCAGGGCUGGUUGCAACUUUAAAGAUAAGUAGUACGAUAAUAUUUUCUAGUUUCAGAUAGAUAUAUUUAAAUACCACAAGCAGGGCAUGGAAUUGGAUUUGGAAUGUUUGCCUCGCAUUCUGAUUGUUUGGUCAGAACAAGGUAAAAGAGUAAUUUUAUCUCCCGAUUUUGAGUCCACUCAAUAUGAUCCAAAGCAUCCAAGAUGAAUGACACAAUAUGUAGUCCUUAAUAUAAGAUUCCACUAAAUAGAGAUAAAUUUAAUCCGAGGAAAGAUAAUGCCGAACCUGUUGGUCCUGUAAAGAGUGCUAGUUGCCUACAAAACAGCAAACAACAUCAGGUUUAACCAUGCUGCCCAUAUGAAAAGAGAACUGAUCUGCAAAGCCAAGAACACAAAAAUAGGUGAAAGCAAAGGAAACAGACUCCUUACUCCGUGGCAAAUCCCAGCCGCUCUGCAAAAGGAAUGAUACCUAGCAAGCUGAGGAAAAACACCCAUCCCUAUGUAUUAAAAGCCGCAUGUCAAAAAAACGAAAAAAAAGAAAAGAAAAGAAGAGAGAACUAAAAUGUACAACAUAGAGAUACAAUACACUGGGACAUAAAAACAACCAUAGCUUAGUAAGCUCACAUGGUCACCAGUAAUGUAGUUGAUCAAGACCGCAAUAAGGCCGCAAGGCAUCAACAUAUUAAUCUUUGCUGUAAACAAUACGAUCUUCAAGCUCCUGAAAAAUCUAGCCUUCAGAUAUUCGACGGUGCACUCUUGUUUGUCGACAGAAAAAGAGUUACGGUGGGUUCCCUCAAAACCAGAAGGCUUUCUGGAGUGCGCCACCGGGCUAACGAGGCUUUCAUCCUCAAACUCAUCUAACCUUCCGUCCAGCGAAACUAUCUGCUCUAUAAAGCAAUCAAUGAAACCAAAAGCAGUAAAUAAGCCUUCAAAGAAUACGAACCGAGCGACGGCAUAAUACAAGCAUACAAAUACAUUCUUUUACUGUUUGUAACAGUUUGAACAUGCAGGGAGAUGAAAUAACAGCGGUUGAUGUAUGCAAAUUACGUUGAAAUAAGCAUAACGAACACUUACUUCCGGAUUAGAGCGCAGUGUAGCCAUCUGGGUCUUUUGAUUUAUCUUCUCCAUCUCCAUAAGACGAGCAUCCUGAAAUGCAAUUCUAAGGAUCAGCGGAUCUGAACACGAAUUUGAAAUGUCGGACAUCAUUGCUGGCUACUGAAUUGAGAUGAAAAAUAACAUUUCUACGUAAAAUCAGAAAUCUUAAUGGCAUUGACAAGUUUUGGUAACAUAUUUGUACACCUUUUCUUCCUAAUAGAUAUUAAUCCUUUUAGGUGUUUGCGAAAAAACAGAAGCCAAAGUCAACGUCCAAUUCUUAUUAUUGAAUCGUCCUUUCGUAUGUAUUUAAACACCCAAAAUUGGAUUGGAUAUGACAGAAUGACACAUAAAUGUCGUGGAAUCAGAAGGAUUUAGUGACACAGAGGCAUUUGUUCAGAGACAUAUGUGGGGAUAAGUCAUCACGCUACGAUGGGAUUAGAUUCAAAAUUUCUCGUUGCAUCCCAACUAAUCUAACCCUAAUCCUAUCCCUCUUUGCUAAAUUAUAUAAAAGGAUCGUUGUUUUCCAAAAAUUUAACCUACUAAAGAACAGUAUUUUUAAUAUUUACAUUCAAUUCAACAACUUCAGAUUCAUGGAAUUCGUCCUCUUUUCGAGCAUAGUUUUUGUUUUCAGUCAUCAUUUUACACUAUCUGAUCCAAUCUUAGACGACAAACAGGCUCUCGGAGAUCUAAAAGACAAAUUAUUCCUUAAAUCGAAUAAAACUAAAGCGGACCGAAUUCUCGCUACGCGAUUAAACCAUGAAAAUAAAGCUUCGAGAAAUCAAUCGAGAAAAAGAAAGCGAAAGAAAUUACCCGCCGAUUCCGACGCUGCAAUCACAAUGAUGUAGUAAUAGAGAAAUUCAUGAGGAAGAAGAAGAAGAAGAAGAAGAAGAAGAAGAAGAAGAAGAGAAGGAGGAGGGUAAUUUGGGAAAUUCGCGUUCGCUGCUUCGCUCGUGGGAUGCGGUGGUGGUGGUGGUGAGGAAUGGUGUGAUCGAUGAGAGAGAGAGAGAGAGAGAGNGUUUUUUUUUUUUUUUUUUUUUCAGUUAAAGUUUGGUUGUUUUUUUUAUUUGUUUUUUUUUAUUUGUUUUGUUUUGGCCCGCUUUAACGGUCUUUCGUACGACAGGCGCGUUUCUCGGACGGAGGGAACAACGGUUUUCCACAAUUUUUUUUAGUAGAUAAAAAAAAUAUAAAAUUUAUCUGAACUAAUAUAACAUUUUGAUGGUGUUACUAAUUUUUAAAAAUUUUAAUUUUACAAUAAAUUUUUCAAUUUGUAUGAUUAGAGUCGAUCAAUAAUAUUUUGACUUUAAUAUGUAAGCUAAUUACUCACUUCAAUAAAUUUAUAAUUGUGAGAAUUACAUAAAAUAUAGUAACUAAACAUAUAUUGAUAAUCGGCACAUAAAUUUUGACGUCAAAGUAUCAUUGACCGACUCAAAUCAAAAAAAUUGAAAAGUUAGACAGUAAAAUCAAAAUUUUAAAAUGUUAGAUUGCUGAACCAAAAUGGUCUGAAUAAUUUUUGUAUAUUUACCCUUUUUUUUCUUAUAUCCGACUCAAUUUACUAUUUUUUUUUAGUCCAAUAUCCUAUAAUUUUGGUUGUUUUACUUAUAUUUUCUUAUUUUUAUUUUUGCUUUCUCACUACAACAAAAUUAGGUUAUAGGGACACAUGUUUGAGACACUUUUGAGUAAGUGUCCCAUUUAUGCUAAAACUUAAAAAAACAUCUACUAAUGCCUAAAUAUAAAGUCCAAUCCAACUAAAAAUAAAAGAUUACUCUACUCAACCCACCACACCCAGUCCAUUUGGCCCGAUUACAAACAGAAAAGAAAAAAAAAAGAAAAAUUAAUUACCAUCUUUUCUUCUCUCUUCACUCAAUCUACUGAAAUUCUAAACGAAGAGCCUUUCCUGUCGGCCUCCUUCGCCACCGCAGCCAACGAGAUAGAGUUUCGGCGGUUGCUAAAUGCUUAAAUAAGCGUUGGUAAAUUAGCAGCACUCUUUUCGAUUAUAGCGACACUCUUUAACUGUCACUAUAUACUUAGCGACCCCACAUAUAGCAACACUUUUUAAAAGUAUCGGUAAUUUUAGCUAGCAGCACUUUUUUGACAUGUACCUACAUUUAAAAGUGUCGCUAUAGACCGUUUUUGUUGUAGUGUCUAUUACACAUUUUAUUAACUUUUGUGUUAAAACCAUCAGGUGCCACCCAAAUGUUCCACAAUUAUGAAGAAAAGAGGCAUGAGACCUUUUAAGGCUUAAUCCUGCCUAUUAAGGCUUAAUCCUGAUUGUUCUUUGUUGGUCUCCAAUGGUGAAAACAAAUAAUAAUAUAAGAGGCUCGUGCAUGGCAGAUGAUUGUUUAAUGGAGAAGUUAAUAGAGAGUGUAACGAAAAAUAAAAUAGAAAUCACAGGAUGCUUAAAUAAUACAGUUAAAACCACAAUGCAUGAAAGUAAAAAAAAAUGUUAAACCAUAAAAUGAUAUGUGAAGUUUUAUUAUUAUUAUUAUUAUUAUUAUUACUAUUUGUAGAAAGAGAAGAAGGGACGGUAAGGAGGUGGGAGACGACAAGGGAGGGAAAAAAGAACAAGAGAGAGAGAGCAAGGAAAGAGAAAGAGGAAUAAGAGUAUUUUGAUUAGUUUACUAAAAAUUCAGACCUUAUCUACAAAAUGUAAAAAAAAAAGUCUAUUUUUGUAAAAAUGCAAAAUCGGUAGAUUUUUUUUGCAAAUUGGCCAAAAAAAUGUUAUUGGCACAUUCUAUUAUAAAUAUAUAUUUUACAUCUCGUCAUCCAAAAAUAAAUUAUUUUUUUAGUUUUUAAUAUUUUUAAAAAAUUUGAUAAAACAAGUAGAUAUGAAGCAUAUAUAAAAGUCUAGGUGUAAGAUUGAGGCCUAUAUUAUAGGUGCACAGGUAGGGACCAUUUGGUUGCAUAUAGUUACAACUGUACAACAGUUGUAACUGUAUGCAAAUGUAAAUUCGGUGUUUGGUUUGAUAUAUUUAAUUCAAACUGUUGCAAUAGGAGCUGCAGGAGGAGGUCCAACUGUUGGAGUUGGAACUACGACCAAAUUGACCGCAGUUCCAACUGCAGCCCUACAUAUAUUUGGCAUAUAUUGGUAUUUAUGGUUUUUACGCUAAUAUAAGUAGGGAUACUAUAUUAUUAGAAGUAUAGCAGCCCUGUGCUCUAAGCUCCUAACUAUCCAUCAAUUUUGAUGGUUGGUUUAGACGAGAAGAGAAAUUAGAGAGAAAUUGGGUAUGAUCUCAGUUUCUCUUCUCUUUAAAUUUCUUUCAAAUUUCUCUUCUCUCUCACACCCUAACCAUUCAUCAAAAACUUAGAAGCAUAGCACUGUUGUGUUCCUAAUAGCACAGUAACCCUAUUCACAUUAGCGUAAAGACUAUAAAUGCCAAUAUAUGUCAAAUAUAUGUAAGGCUAUUGUACUAUUGGGAGUACAGCGCAGCCUGUAUGCUCCUAAGUUUCUAACCAUCUAUUAAUUUUGAUGGGUGCUUAGAGUAAGAGAAAGAAGAGAAAUUAGGAAGAAAUUUAAAUAAAAGAUAAAUUGAGACAUCCAAUUUCUCUUAUCUCUUUCAGCCUAACCAUCCAUUAAAAUUAAUGGACGGUUAGGAAUUUAGGAGCACACGAGCUGCUAUACUCCUAAUAGCAUAGUAAGCCGUGCUCGCGCUAAUAUAAUCUAAUCUACCAAGAAAGCUAGAACUUGUGUAGUGAGUUUAUUAUCCCUUGUUAAAUCUCUCAUUUUUAUUCUCUUCUCCCACCAUUUUAUUAUCCUCCUCUCUUUUAUACUCUUUCUAGGAUGAUUGAUAUCCUUUCGCACAAUAACAUAAUCUUUAAUAGUAAAGGCUAUAUAUGUCUUGAAUUGCGAAUUGAUUGCAUUAUGCGUGAUAAGAAAGUAAAAUUUAAAAAAAAAUUUGUUUGUUUUCAUAAAAAAUAUAUCUUUAUGUAUAUUGUAAUGAAUCGAUAAACAAACAUUUUUUAUGGGCUCAUCGAAAAUUAGAAAUGUAUAUUUUUGUAUACUUUCGCUCCAACUCUUUUGUCCCAAUAAUAACAUACAACCCUUAAUACCAAAUGGGUCAUACUUUCUAAGACACUUUGUAUGUGCGGAGGUGUAUGUAUCUUUAUUCAUGUCGGUGUUUAUGUUCCUCUACACCAAAUAGCCAGCCAGUUAACUUUGUUGGCUAUUUAUUAUUGGGCUAAAAUAGAUCUAACAUCCUGCCCUGUGACAAUAGGUCCAGGAGACUAAUAAGUUAAGUUAGGUGAGCCUAAUAAGUUGAGUGGAGGUACGGUCCAUAAGAGGCAUAAUGGCAAAAGGCUUAACAAUAGACCCAACAUCCAAAUGGAUUAAGUCAGGUCGAAAUCCGCAAGUGGUGUGGUUGAGCCCUUAAGUGCAAUAGGAUCAUCACGUGCUUUUGGGAUAGUUGGUUAGCGCUUACGAUCCACAAACUCUUCCUUUUUUGCAAACCCUUAAGUAGCCUAAGUUAUAAUCUCCCCCUCUCUCUCUCUCUCUCUCUCUCUCUCUCUCUAUGCGGGUGUGUGUAUGCGCGUGCUUUGCGUGGGUGCCUUUAUUCGUGUCAGUGUUUGUGUCUGUCUAUGCCAAAUGGCCAACCCCCUCUUACUCUUACGUAACCUCCUUAGUAACCUUUCUUUUUUGGAAACUAAUGGUGUUUGUUCAAAAAUGUCCUCCCUCUUUCUUAGAGAAACUAAUACCUCUAAGGAAAAAUUCAGUCCCACUCUCUUUUCGUCUGCCCAGUAUGAAAUACUCAGGUGACUUCAAUCUUUUCUCCUCUUUCUUUUUCUCUUCUUCUAUACUAUAUACCUAACACUAACAAAUCUGCCACUCCAUACAUAGUCCAUCAUCUCACUCGGUUAAUAUUUUAUUAAUUUCUAAAAAAGUGAAAAAUGUCAUUGAGGGAUGUGGUAUAAAUUAAGUGAUAUAGUGCAACUUUAAAAAUUUGACAAAAUAUUGAAAUUUUCAUAUAAGUGUAGAACGAAUUUGACUAAUAAAUAAAUGAAGUUUUUGUUUUAUAUUGAUUUUCUUUUAGAGAGAGAGAGAGUGAGAGGGAGGUUUUUGUGUUGAUUUUGUACAUUGGUUUGUAAAUUUAUUAUGUUUUAAUAAAUAUUUUUUUCUUUUUGUAGGUUGCAAAUUGGUUAUACAUCAGCAGCAAGAGCUUAAUUGAGUAUGUAAUCCAUCCUUUUCUCUAAAUUUUGCCUAUGUAAUUUAACCAAAUUGAGAGCUAAAUUUUAAAGUUCUAGCCAGUUGACAAAUUAAUAAGCCCUAUAAUUGAACAACCAAGACUGGAUAAUGUAAGCCCCUUGAUUGAAUUGGAAGGAAUGACUAGCUCUUGCUUGAAAAUUACUACUAUAUUUUUCAAAUGUUUUCUUCCUUUGAACCAAGUAAUAAUAAAGUAUAAUCACUUACAAUCAUUUUACCAAUAUAUUAGUCCUCAAAUUUCUCUCUAUUGUGCAUGUUAGUUUUCUUUCAUGUAAAUUUUCCUUUCUAGCUUUCACUAAGAAAAGCUUAGGGGUUUGGGGUUAAAUCUAGCUAUCCUACCACCAUUUUAUUCUAUUUCUACAUUUUUAUCCUUUUAUGGAAUGAUUAAUAAUCUCUUAUGGCAAUAAUACAUUGCUCAAAGUAUAGCAUGAGUGACAAGAUUAACAAUGAGUUUAAAAUGUAUUCUCUUUCUCUUCCGUUUAAUUCUUUGUUCAUAUGGUGUUUUUGUGUGUGUAUUUAUAUACUUUUUUUUUUUUGUUUAUGUAAAACAACCGAUCAAUAUACUCUAAAAGCUUAAGUUGUUAGAGAACGGUGUUUAAAUAUUUUUUAUAUUUAACACUCCCUCUCACGUUUGGGCUCGAGACUUUUUAGUCGGUGUAUGACGUGAGCUUAAAUUAAAUAGGAAAAAAUUAAUAUGUUAGGCGCCUGACGUGACUCGAACUCAGAACUUCCUAUUCUGAUACCAUAUGAAAAUAACCAUUGCAUAUAUAACCACCACCCGGCCCCUACCCCAAUUACCACCUCUCUCUCUCUCUCUCUCUCUCUCUCUCUUGACCCCAAAAUGGAGUGUGAUUUUUUGUGCGUUUUGCUCUUUUUUUGUCAAUUUUUUAAAACUAUCUAUAAUUAAGCUAAUGUGAAAAAUAAAAGUCUUCUUCUUCUUUUCACUAGUAAUAUGGUUUAAGGCAAUUUUUUUUCUUUAAAUCCGUCAUUCAAUCAUUUUAUUUUUCUCCUCCCUUUCAUUGUUAUGCAAUAGCAAUAACGCUCUUAGGGCAAUAAUAUCUUAAAUAGUAUAUCUAACAAGAUUUGAAGCAUUGAGUUUGUGGGUUGAAGAGUAAUGAUAGAUUUAGACUCUCUCUUUCUCUCUUUCUCUCUUUAUAAUCUCUCUCUCUCCAUACCUCUUUCUCCCUUUGGGCGUGCAUGUAUGUGUGCGUGACUAUUUGUGACAAGUGAUGCUACAUCUCAUUGCCUCGAAUAAAAUCUAGGCUCUCUCUCUCUAAAACUAAUACUGUCCAAAAAAAUUCUCUCUCUCUCUCUCUCUCUCUCUCUCACACACACAAAACAUAGAAAAUGUGUCCCCAAAAUAAAAUGAUCCGCUUUCGCUCUUUUUCUACCUGAUACAUGCAUCCUUCUCACCAAUAAUUCCCCAUUGCCUGUCGCAAUAACUAUCAUCCUCCCUCGGCGGCGCUUCUCUCUCCGCUCAACCCUAACAAAUAUACGAACCUUUCGAUUGAAAAAUGUUGAACAGGUUGCUUGGUGUGGUAUCAUUUCAAACACUAGUCUAAAUAGUAAAGUUUUUAGAUGUAUGAUGUGCAUAUAUAACUAGUUUUAGCAUUGUUUCAUAUUGGUUUUAUCUUAGAUUUAUAUCAUAUUAUCUUCUUAACAUGUUUUUGAAUCUUUUUUUUGUAGGGGGAAUAAGUGUUGUACAUCACCAGCGACAAGCUAGUUGAGUAUGUAAUUCAUUCGUCUCUCACAACCUUUGCUUGUGCAUAUUUGCCUAAUCGAGUAUGUGAAUCGUUCUCACAUCUAUCUAUAGCUCCUUUAAUUCUAAGUAGAGGGCGUGAAUGAUGUGUUUUGACACAUAAUUUGAUAUUACCAUACUCGAUUGAUUUUAAAUCUAUUACAUUACAUUAUUAUCUGAACUUAAAUUUGUAGGAUUUGCUUGAGAUGACCAUCCAAGUUUGUAACAUGAGCAAAUAUUUUUAUUUCCUUUUGCGUUGAUUAGUUUUGUAUAGUAUAACCUGUUGAGUGAAGCUUAGAAUUGCUACGUAGGCAUGUUUUUAAACAAUUCAUAGGAAUACAUGAUUAUAUUUAGAAUUGCGAACGUAGGCAUGUUUUUAAACAAUUCAUAGGAAUACAUGAUUAUAUUCUUGAAACUAAAAUCGUCGACUAAAAUGCUAUUGUACUAGUUACUAAUGACAUUCUGAAGAUGUAAGAGCCUGCAGAUAUUAAUUAUUUUACUAACUUAUUAUAUACAUUCAUGUGUAUAUUUGCAUGCACAUUUUAGUUAGUAAACAUAUUUUUUCUUUUUCAGCUAAUCUUUGUUGUUGCUAUGGAUGCGCAUAUACAUAUAUAUAUAUAUAUAUAUACACACACACACCUUAGUUUUGUAUUUUAAUUUAUUUUUGGUGUAGAUUAAUGGGAAGUAAUUUGAACAUGAUUUUAAGUUUGUUUUGCUUUACUUGUGUACAUCUUUAGUAUACCGUUUGAUAAUAUAAAACGCUAUAACAUUUUUUUUUCUCAAUUAUCAAAUAAAACUUUCUAACAAGAACUACUGCAGUAGACAAUGGUUGUGAAGUAACUCACUUCCUCUUUUUCAUUGGUACGAUCAUCAAUCAUUCGGUGCACAUGGUCCAAAUGAAUUUUUCGCUCUUAUCAUUGGUCCGGUGCAUGGACACGUGGUAGACCAGACACUUAAACCUAUCGCAUGAACCCUCCGUUCUCUCUCUCGCUCUUUCUUCAUCCUCCUCCUCCUUCACCUCCGAUCACCACAGCCCCACCAACUCCAUUACCAUUACCAUCUCUCUCUCUCUCUCUCUCUCUCUCUCUCUCUCUCUCUCUCUCUCUCUCUCUCUCCUUUGUUGAAACCCUAGACCCCUUACAAAGUGAUUCGUACUCACAUUGUUCUCAAAACCCUAAUAAGUUUUGAGGGCUCCAUCUCCAUUCCAUUUUUUUUGAUUCCUGGGAAUGGUUGGAUUAGGGUUUCGGACCAUUUUGGGCCGGGGCAUGAACCCGACCAUUUACUAUCUCUUUGGUUUCUUACUCGUGGGAAGUUGAAGUUGGGUCCCACUCCCACUCUACCAGGUAAAAUAAUCCGUAAUACACAAAUACUAGCAUCUUUGUGCUCUUCGUAUAACACAAUUUAUUGUAAGUACUUUAUGCAGAUAUAUAGCUCAAAUUUGUCUUUUUCUUCAUUUAUCGAGUUUAAUUGUGAAGUUUUUCUAAUUAAUUUGUUCCAGCAUUGAUACUGUAAUUUUUGCUCGCUAGUAAAUGCAUCAUGUUAUGAGAUGUAAUAGUGAAAUGCGCCACUUUGAUGUGUAAUAGUGUGGUGUAACGAAAUGUGAUGCUUUAGCAAAGCAAAAUUUUGUCCUUUUCCAUGUUGUUAGAAUUAGAGUGUUAUACUACUGUUUGGGACCCUGUAAGGAUGCUCUUUUGGUCGGCAAUUUUCGUCUUAAGUAGCAUGCUAGCAUGAAGCAAAAUCUUGUUAAUAUUUGACUGUUUUGUGAUUAAUACCCUAAGCCAUCGCCUCUUUUGUUAUCUCCCCUUGAUUUUCUGCUUACUUAUGUUUGGUAGAGCAUAAAGAUUAUAAACACUACCUGUAGUAUAUUGCUCUCAGAAUUGUGCGCCCGAACUCUACAAGUUUUGAUCUCAAUACCUAACUUUCAUUAGCUUCUAUUGUUUUUUUGUAGCUCAUAACGGAAUGUCCCUUCCAAUUCCUAGCACUUUUCUAAUUGAAAUCAUCAAGUUUUGAUAGAUUCUGAUCAAAAGAUAUUGAAAUGAAAAGUUUUAAUGUUCAACUACCAAUUUCAAAAUGUGCUAUGGUUCAGGUUGUCUCCAUAAGUUUUUUACCUUUAUGUUUUCAAAUUGAUGCAUGCAAGCAAAAAAUCUCAUUGUUUUUUUUUUUAAAAAUUUUUGUUGAUCUCUCUAAGGUGUCGACUUUGCAUCUUUCAAGUUAACGUGAACAAAAGGCUGUUGACUCGAAAGGAUGAGCUCAAGUAGAGUGGGAGGUGAGGCAAUGGGCGGGCACGGAACAGCGCUCGAUGAGGAAAAUAAGAGAGUCAGAUGCAAGUACUGUGAAAAGGUUGUUGGCGGCUUCAACCGUCUCAAGCAUCACUUGGGUGGCGUUGGAAGUGAUGUCGUAGAAUGCAGUGAAGUCCCUGCUGAUAUCAAGGAACAUAUGAGGAAUUCUCUUCUUGAGAAGAAGAAAGAAAGAUUGGUUAGGCAAGUCGGAAUUUUGGACCACCCGGAACUUCCCCUGAAGAGGAGCUUUUGCCAACUCAAGCCAACUCAAGAGAGCCCUAUGGAGAAAGGAAAGAGAGCUGGAGAAACUGUUGAAGGUAGGGUUAUAAUCUCUUUGGUAUGGUUUGAUUUUGCAGAACUUUCUCAGCUGAAUCGAAAUAUGCAGUUUAAAGAUUUUGAGACAUAACUGAAAAAAAACAAAUUACUAUAUGAGCUGAAUAAAUAAAGUCUAAAUAAAUCUAUCAUAUUUGCAUAUGUCACAUCAAAAUUUGUUUUUAUUCUUUAAUAUGAUAACAAUCAAUACUGCAUAAUAUAUAUAUUUCUAGCAUAUGUCCAUAUGCCAAUGUUAUUUGGUUUCGGUUUGGUUUCAUUGAGAGUUUCUCAACCAAUUACAAGUCGUUAGCCAAAAACCAAAGCAAAUUGUCUUGUUGGCAGGGGAUUAUGUAAAUGGGAAGAGCAGUCCUCAUCUUACUCCCCCAAGGCAAACUUCAACAAAUGAAGGGAACAACAUGAAGUUUGAAUCCACAUUUCUAAGUGGACAUAUCCCUUCAUCACUCAUGAUGGAAGAAGAUGUCAAGCCGGUCAUAAAGGAAGAAGUGAGAAACGAAUCAGAAUUACUUGUAGCGAGAUCUGUAGGUGGGUUCUUCUUCGAGGCUGGAAUCAAUCUCAAUAUGGUCAGUUUACCAUCUUUCAAGAAAAUGAUCGAUGUUGUGAUUGCAUGCGGUGCUGGUCUUAAACUUCCAACAGAGAACGAUCUUAAGGGGUGGAUUCUCCAACAAGAAUUGAGAGAAGUUCUUGCAUAUGUGCAGGAUGUGAAGCAGUUAUGGGUACAUACUGGGUGCAGCAUAUUGCUUGACAGUUGGACCAAUGAAAGGGGCAGAAGCCUGAUUAGUUUUCUCGUGCAUUGUCCGCAUGGGACAGUAUUCUUGAAAUCCAUGGAUGCAACUCGUGUUAUGUGUGAUAGCGAUGCGUUAUUUUUAGUUCUUUGUAAUGUAAUCGAGGAGGUUGGUGUUCAAAAUGUAGUUCAGGUGAUCUUUCACAAUGCGUCAUCCUACAUGCAGUCCGCAGGGCAGAAGGUGGUUGAGAAAUAUCGAUCUAUUUCCUGCAACUUAUGUGCAGAUUACUGCAUUAAUGACAUAUUGGAAAGAAUAGCAAAGAUGGAUCACGUGAGCAGAGUGCUAACUGAGGCUAAGACCAUAACAAGCUUUAUUUAUGGUAACGAGCUUGCUUUGGAGCUUAUGAAGAAGCACAUUCGAGGUGGAGAGCUUGUCAGGGCUUCCAAAUUGAAGUCACUUGCACAGUUUGUCACAUUGGAAAAUAUUGUGUCUGAGAGAGAAAAUCUGAUUACUAUGUUCCGCUCAACGAAAUGGAUUGCUUCUAUCUGUGCAUCUAGAGAUAAGGGCAAACGCGUAGUUGAAAAGUUGGAAAACACCUCAUUUUGGAUUGCUGCAGCUGACAUCUUAAAGGUCACAAAUCCGCUGAUAAGUGUUUUGCAUCAGGUGAUUUUAAUGCUCGAUUAAUAUUUACUACAAUUAUAAAUCUUAAUAUCCUUUCACAUCAACACGCAAAAAUCAACUCUUAAUAGUUAGUUUAUAAGAAUGAAAUGUAUUAUCGUGUGGAGAUCAUUAUGGAAACUUAAAUUGAGUCCAACUGGUCGUGAAUUUUGAUGUAUCUUAGGAAUCAAACUAUUUAUCCAUCUGACAGCUGAUUUUAUGUAUCUUUGUUACAAUUAUAUACCUUUGUUACAGAUCUGUGAAAGUGAUAACGCUCCUAUGGGAUUCUUGUAUGAUGCUAUGGAUCACUCAAAAGAAAAGAUAAAACAAAAUUUUGGGGGCGAAGAAACGAGAUAUUUGCCAUUUUGGGAUAUAAUCGACAAUGUAUGGGACAACUUUCUUUAUAGUACUAUUCAUUCUGCCGCGUACUAUUUGAAUCCUUCUCUCUUCUACUCCGACGGAUUCUAUGUUGAUGCUGAGGUUACUACUGGGCUUCUUGACUGCAUAGCGCGUAUGGCUAAGGACCACUAUGUGAUAGCUAGACAACUUGAAGCAUACAGAACACCUGCGGGAUGUUUUGCUGAGCCGAUGGCUGUUGAUCAAAGAACAAGUGUUCCACCAGGUGAGUUAAUUCUUUUUUUCCUUUUAAUCUUCGUAACAUAUUUUAAAUUUAUUAAGCUUUGUGGAGCAAUAGACUUGCUUUAAUAUAAGGGAAUGCUGUAAUAUAAGGAAUACUAUGAUCUUCUCUUAUAGUUUUUACCUUUUAUGAUUCAUCUUUGCGGGUAAUGUUGUUGUGGAUUGUGGAUUACACACUGGGACUAAUGCACAUUUAAAAUGAAUAAUAUUGUCUUAUAUGUUCUGUAGAUACUUUACAGGAUUGAUCUCGCUUUAUCAUAUUUUCCAUAUUUUUAUAUGAAGGAUGUGAAUGCAUAUCACUUCAAAUCCUUGACGAUCACUUCCUUUUGGAACUACAGCACUAUGGUGGUCCCUUUAUGGGGGCCAAGCACCUGAAUUAACCGACAUUGCGGUUAGGAUCUUGAGUCAAACAUGUUGCUGUGCCUUAAGAUACAAGCUAGGGAGGGGCUUAUCAGAGCAGCUGCAUGCAGAAGGGAACUGUCUCGAGCAACAGCUAUUCCGUGAGAUGGAGUUUGUCCAUAACAAUCGCUAUCUUUGGAAGUGUGCAUCCGGCAUGGAAGAGACGGGAUUUAUUUGCGAAGAGAACCUCAACCUACUGAAGGACUGGAUCAUAGAGGACAAUGACAAAAGGUGAUCACGGCUGUCAGUUAUCUCUUCUUUCUGCAUUAUGUCCCAUAUCUGUAGUUAGGGAUUUUCCUUCCAAAUACAUGUAUUUGAGUGUAUAUCCCUCUUAGGUUAACAAGUUAUGCUUAAACCCUUAUUAGUGGUCCAUCUUUGCAUAUACGCCAUCAAAAGUCACAAAUUAUGCCUUAGCCUACAUUUGCUUGUAUGCAUUUUCUCUUGAGAGCUCAGGCCGAAAAGGUGGGUUUCUUUGCAAAAAAGGGCAUCUACUGAAACAUUCAUGGGUACGCCAUUUUGGCGCGAAAAGCUCUUAACAAAUGGGGGCAUACACCCGUGGAUGGGCUGUUUCAAAGGGAAUAGGUUAUGUUGUAACUUGAAAGAGGGUUAAACAUACAAAUGCAAGCUAUUUCUAAGCGUGAUAUGCAUAUUCGUGUAUUUCCAUCUCGGCCGGUUUACUCUGCAGGUAUGUUUCUGUUGGUGAUCAGUGACAUUAUCUUAGUUUCGGAGUAUAUCGAAUACAUAGCAAGUAUAUGCUUUCACUGACAUUUGCUACAGACCCUGAAACUAUGCCUUGAAUCUUAACCCAUCUUCUUCGUUGUAUCUUUUCUUAAUUUCCCAAUUCGUUUUCUAAUAACACCAGUUUCCCUGCAGACUCGGUACAGAAGAGGGAAAGACCUGAUCAACUUUUAAUGCCGACAACUUUGUGGAGAUAUCUUAUUGCUCAUUAAAGUUCUUGGGAUGGUAAAAGAAACUCCUUAAAAACAUGUAUAAAGUUUAAACUUAUCUACCAGCAAACUUUGUGUAGCCGAUGGCGGCAAAACUGCUGUACAUUGUUUGUUUUGCAUUUGCUCUGGUGUUGUGGUAGGAUGACUGCAAAAGUUAAUUAUGCUUUGUUUGUUACUCUUAUAACUGGAGGUGUUCUCAAUGUUUAAUCCAUGCAGGUUUCUGUUUGUUUUGUUUCGUUGUGACCGCCACUUUUGUUCAACAAGUUCGAACAUCGCUAAUUUAUAUAGUUGUUCAAGUUUGACGAGGAUAGGUUUUCUUUGGAAUGGUUUAAAUUCGGUUGGAAAUAUAAAGUAAUUAGAUUUUGAACUUAUAAUCUCGGUAUUAAACAGUAAACUCAUAGAAGAUGUUGAAGUAACUUAAAUAGCCCAGUGGCCCAAAUCAUCAGGUCGUAUGAAAUUACUGUAAACGUGCUUGUAGAGGCAUAAACUCUGUGGGACUCGACAUUAGAUGCUCGAGAAGUAGCGAGCAGUAAUAACUACUAAUAAAUAAAUGAGGGGAAAGAAAGAGAGAGAAAGCCAAUCCACUUUGAGAAAUUAUUGCAUGCACGCAGUGUACACAAUCAAGGUACUGAUGAUCUAAAAUAAUAAGUUCUUUUUCAAAAAAAUUAUAUAUAAAGUUUUAUCAAUAAAGAAUUCUAAAAUACACAAAUAGUUUUAUUUUUGAUUUUGAGACUUUGGCUCUCAUUAUAUGAGUUUCACAGAAAAUUUCACAUUAUUGUAUAACUAAUAAAAAGAGUUUUAAUUUUAAAUUAUGCAUGUAUUUUGAAGAUUUCGGUGUAUACGCUUCGGGUGCACGUAAUAAUUUCGCACCCACCCACCGCUUUUGGAGUUGUGUUUGGCGCGUUCUGUGGGCCGAUGUUGCCACCUCUCUCUCUCUCUCCAUCUCUUUGUCUUAAAUUUUUUUUAACUAAUUAAUUAAUUAAUUUUUUAAAAAAUAUUUUCGUAAUAAAAACAGUGCUGUUGUUUUCUCUGUUGUCUACUACCGGUUUGAAAUUUGAAACUCUUGCUUUCCACUUCCACCGCCACUCUCUUCGGACUUCGCCGCGGAGCAGCAACUCUCAUCAAUCUCUCUCUCUCUCUCUCUCAGGUAAAGCAAAAAAUCUCUUUAUUAUGCAUCUCUCUCUCUCUCUCUCUCUCUCUCUCUCUCUCUAUUUGUGUUUUUUGGGCAACAGAUGAGUUUGAAAACAAGUUUAUGUAGUACUGGGAAUAGGAUUUCAUUAGGGUUGUAAGGAUCAGAGCAGGUUCUCUCACUCUCUCCUCUUCCUUUUCUUUCUUAUUUUAAGCUCUUGCAAGCAUGUGAUUAGAGAAAACUCCCAGAUGGAUAUGCAGCUUUUUUCAGAAAAAAAAAAAAAAACAAAACAAAACAAAAAGGCAAAAAAGAGGGAAAGGGAAAGCAGAUGAUCCCCUAUACUUUACCCAGUCAUGAAUAAAAAAAAAGUUAGCACCAUAUCUCUUUUUAAGGCCAUUAUUUUGCUUAAAGCAUGCUUAAAAGAACAUUUGAUUUUCCACAUAAAUCAUCACACAGCUUUUGGCUUAUUACAUUUGGUUGGAGAUUUUACCUGCAUCGUUCAUUUGGAUUUCUCCGAGACCAUCAAAAUUUUUUGGAUUUGCAUUCCUGUGAUCUGUUUGCAAUUUCAUGCUUCUUCAGGUGGUCUGUUCGUAUAUUGAGUCUGGAAGAGGAGUAAUGUCAUGCAACAGAAGACUGCCCCAGAAUUCUUGCAGAUUCCAGCUUGAACAGGACGUAAGAGCAUGCGAUUUUGUCGCCGAACAUUCAGAAUCUUAUGUUCGAAUAUUUUUUCCAUGUGUUUUAAGUACUUUGCCUUGUAUUGCAGGUUAAAAGGCUUCAGCAAUUACUUCAGGAGGAGACGAAUUUACGUGCUGUCCUCGAAAAUGCGCUGGAGCAUGCAGCUGUGACAUUGUCCGAUUUAUCGUAUCUUCCGAAUAAUGUAUAUUUACCUCUCCUUUCUCCUUUUUUUUCCCCUGCUUUUAUGGAUGUUUCAGAAAUAUAUACUGAGGUUGUUUGACUUAGGACAGUGUAAAUGUUUGUUAAGCGAUGAACAUGCUGUUGGCUUAAAUGGAUCAGCAUUCUGCCAUUUGGCGGGACUAGAUUGGGCCGAGCCACGUUCGAAAUGGCAGGAGGUAGGGUUGGCCCGAGUCACGUUCGAAGUGGCCUGAGGCUGGUUGAGCCGAGUCACAAUCGAGACCUCUAGGCGCUGUAUCUGUACAUUUUAAGUGAAUUAGAUGCAUAUUUUUAACAGUUCGAACUUUUGGGAGUAAUGGUUAGCGCCAACGAUCCUACACAAGUGACCUCAUCCUUCUAAUCACUAUUUCACAAUGUGUUUUGUACACUAUUACUUACUUUCUUACGGCGUUUAAGCUGUGAUUCACUGUUGAAGACCAUAAAACUGUACGUGUUUCAAUCUGCGGUAAUCACUGUAGGAAGAACUUCUUUUCCAUUGCCAUUGAUUAAAAUUAUGUUACUUUUUAUUUCUUUCGCAGGCUCAAGAACUGCUGUCGAAUAUUUCCACAUUGGAGACGACUAUUCUAAGGCUCGAAGAAGAGAUGAUUUCUCUGCAUUUUCAGCUUAUCCAAGAGAGGAAUGAGAGAAGGCUUGCAGAGUAUCGGUUGAAACAAUUACCAUUGCAACCAUUUCCUGGUUGUUCUCAUCAAACGGAAACGGUACAUUCUAGCAUUUGCUAUUCUUUUUCUGUAGAACCGUACGACUAUCUUAGUUCUUGAUUCCAUACCACAUGUUUCACAUCCCACCAUAUCAUGGUCCGUAAUUGACAAAUAAACUAAAUGAAACCUCUGCCAUUUCCAAAAUUAUUUAGCAACAAGUUACUAGAGUUAACCUGAGGAUGAGAUGACAUUUGAUUUUUUAGAUUUAUUUAUUUUUUAUUGUGCAACAAGGUUUUUGUGAUAUGAAUAAAAUUACUCGUUUAUAAUUUUCUGAUAUAUUCUAGUUGAUACUUGCAUUAGGGACCAUUAGAUGGCAAGAUUGCCCAAGAGGAGUUGGCUGUUCCUCAAGUCCGUCAACGAGAAGUUGGCAAGUUACAGAAACAGGUUUCAGUGAAAGGUCUAUGUAAUUACCCUAACAAGCUGUCGGAAGAGAUAGUCCGAUGCAUGAGGAACAUCUUUAUCUCAUUAGCAGAUUCUUCAGUGGUAUAUCCCAAAUCUUCUGCACAGGAGAAGCUGCCGUCUUCUCCUUCUCCUACCGGCCGGUAUUCAGUUUCGUCAUACUGGUCUUUGUCGGAGCCUCGGACAACUUCAUCAUGGGAACAGAGCCCUCAAGUUGUUUCGGAGUGUAGUAAUGAACUUCUCGCCUCAGAAGGUGCUUUUGAUCCAUAUAGAGAUCGCGAAAAACUCGGUUGGGCCGACAUUGGAAACUACGGUUUAGCAACCGAGGUUUCGUGGAUGUCAGUGGGAAAGAAGCAGCUUGAAUAUGCUGCUGAGGCACUAAGGGAAUUCAGGUGCACUAUCAUUAAGUUAAAUCUCAUUUUACUAACUUUUCAUAAGCAGCUAUGUUCCCAGUUUGAAGUAAGCGAUCAGUUCUAAUAUCCACUGCUUAGAUUGCAGAUCACUAAUUGAACAGCUGGGAGAAGUAAACCCCGUUCAGCUUAAUCAUGAAGAGCGGCUGGCCUUUUGGAUCAACUUAUACAAUGCUCUAAUGAUGCAUGUGCGUUACUUACUUCGGCAAAUGUUGCUUGUUGGCCUUUUGUUCAACCAGCCAAGAACUCUUCACUCUACAUAAAGCAGGAUUCUUUUAAGAACAAUUAAGCAUGCAUAAUAUAAUGAAAUUUUGCAUUAUCUGAUUGCAGGCUUAUCUUGCUUAUGGAGUUCCAAGAAGCGACAUGAAACUCUUUUCACUAAUGCAAAAGGUUUGUUGAGCUUGGUGUCAGUCAUUUGGCUACUUUGUGUGUCUCCUAACUGCUUGUAGUACAGCACUAAUACAAAUGUGGAGUUGGCUUUCAGUAUAAGUUGACAGCAUUAUCUUAAUCACUUUCCGCAUUAUGCAUGUGGAGUGUGCUUUUAUUGUCGAAACUUUGCUUGUUAAUAUACCUUAUUAAUCUUAUUCUAGGAUGAUGAACAGCAUUUCGUGGUUUACUACUAAUCACGAGCCUGAAUUCACUUUAUAAUGUCAUGGAAAAAAAAAAAACUCGCAUAUCACAAUAUAAUGCGUUGCAAGCGACUGACACUACCCCUUCUCAUUACAUUAUAGGCAGCAUACACAGUUGGGGGCCAUUCAUUUAGUGCUGCUUGCAUUGAGUAUGUGAUAUUGAAGAUGAAGCUGCAAACCUACAGGCCACAAACGGUAUUUACACUGGCACUUUUACUGUAUAGCAGUAAUACAGUAAUUAUUAAUUCUAGCCUUUGUUUGAUAUACCUAUCAGAAUGGUUGAUACCUUUUCCGAUUUGCAGGCUUUUCUUCUCGCCCUUCACAAGUUGAAGACAUCAGAAGAGCAUAAAAAGUUCUCUAUUGAGAAAUCUGAGCCGCUCAUUGCAUUUGCUCUAAGCUGUGGGAUGUUUUCUUCUCCAGCGGUAUAAUUCUCUCAGCUAUGUUAUUUGUUAGUUUAGCUAUCUUACCUGUUUAAAUGCCUUAUAUAAUCAGUAGUAUAUUGAAGACUUUUUUUUGCUGAUAGGGUCGAAAAAAUGUCCUACAGCUACAUAAUGGAUGUAUAUGUUUUUUCAGGUGAAGAUAUACACCCCCAUCAAUGUGAGAGAAGAGCUCCAGGAUGCUCAGCGUGACUUUAUUCGAGCCUCAGUGGGGGUGAGCCGGAAAGGGAAGCUUAUGAUCCCGAAGAUGCUCCAAUGCUUCGCCCGCAGCUUUGUCGAUGAUGCUAACUUGGCAAUGUGGGUGCCUCGCUUCCUCCCUCAGCAACAGGCGGCUUUUGUUGAACAAUGCAUAUCGCAGAGGCGGCAGAGUGUCUUCGGCUCCCACAGUUUUGGCAUCCUUCCUUUCGAUUCUCGAUUCCGCUAUCUCUUCUUGCCUGAGAAACUACCCUAAAACUCUCCCUCCAACUACACACUCAAUCGCUAACCUAAAAGAACCUAACUGGUAGGAAUGAAUUCAUUUUUCUUUUUCCCUUCUGAUAUUGAGCAAAUUUUCAGAUACUAAGACCGAAUAUUGAUACAGGAAGAAAUUGACAUGAUACCGAGUUUCACCAACAUGCUUCAUGUGAACUCUACUAAGCUGAGGAAUCACAACAUGCCUGCGAGAAGCUCUUGGCCCUCGGCACACCUAAUAGUUGCAUUGCUCUCGAACUAGUAAGGCUUGUUCCCUCAUGUGAAUUUGUCAGUCUCCUCAUUAGACGAUAGAAGAGGUGGAUCUUUAAAUUAUGGUUGUCGAAUAAUUAGGUCAAGUCUAGUAUAAUUGUUAUCAGACAGUAUAUUUCAGUUGUAUCCAAGGUUAGAUUGCAGAUGAUCCAUCUUCUUGAUGAUCUAUCAGUAGAAGUUGUACAUUUCUUUGUUAACACUUUCGCAAGUAGUAGUUCAAUCAUCUCUUUUCCAGAAUUGUCAUGUUGGUUUGCAUCUAUUACGAUUAUUGUUGAAAUGUACAGAGUAACGAGUAACAAUUAAUCGAAGGGACAAAUUUGUGCGCCAACAAAUUGAUCUUUAUAAGAAAAAAAGAGACAUUAUAUCAAAAACAAGUACCCAAUGAGACAUGAAACAACUGAUUCAGUUUUUUCACCACUGGUUUGAGUGUCAUGCUGGAAUACGCCUUGCAGCAAAAUAAAUCCUGUGCUUCAGGGGCCGUCAUCUCCAUCCUUGAUUAGAUUACAAAUGUCUGAGCACUCAACAAGGCUUAUUAAAAAAGCAAAAAAUGGAGAUGAAUUAAUUAUCCUUCAGAAGAAAUUAAGGGGUGUUAAGCACAUAAAUUGCUGAUAACUAAAACUCACCAGUAUUGGCGAGUGCGAAAUCCUUGUUUGAACACUACAAGAGGCCUGCAUGUCGAACUCCCAAAUAUCAUUCCUUUAUGCAAGCUUAGCUCAACUAGCUAGAUCGAUAUUGUAAAUAAUAUAAGUUUAAAGCAAUUCUAAAAUCUAAACUCCUGUUUAUUGUAAUUGUAAAUUAAUUAAUUUCACAUGUCUCUCAUAUCAAUCGUUUUGAACGGGACAUGCAUGGAUGCUACCAAAGUUGAGAAAUAAUAGUCAAUCAAUUAUACCUCCUGACGUUGAGUGGGCCUUCGCCGGGGGAUCCGGCGCCACCACGAAUGCAGGUGCCGACGCACUUGGCCGUGCAGGACUCCGCCUUCCGCGACUUGGGCCGCUGGAUCCGAGCUCGCCUGGCGUCAUCCCCUGCAUGUAUGUUGCACAUGUGCGACGAGAUCAAUCCGAUUCGCUUGAAUUUCCUGCGAGCUUAUUCAUUCAUUCAUUCAUUCAUUUGUUACCGGAGAGGGUCUGGGGAACGUUGGAGAAUGCGUCCGGCGACGGCCGCGGUGGCGAUAGGACGACUGCAAGGGUGAGGAGAACUGGUGCAGGGUUGAAGAAACUGCGAGUGCUCCAUGACUGCUUCUUAUCAAUGCUAUUGCUAUUAUUAUUAUCAUUAUUUAGAGCAGUUCGCAUAUGAAUGCAGGCAUAGAGCCGAAAGGGAUGGAAGAGUAAGGAAGAAGAAGAAGAAGAAGCAGGGAUGAGGAGAAUUCGCGGAAACAUAACAUAACAUAACAAAACAUAACAUUAGAACAGAGGAUAUGGCUAUGAGGGAGGAGGAUGUGGGGUUGGAGUUGAGUUACUUCUACUCCACUCGUUGAGUGGGGGAGUGAAGGGUUCAUAAGCGGAAUCAGAAAUUUGAAUGGCUCUAGCUCCCCUUGGGUACUGGACAGAGAUCAACGGUCCUGAGAAUAGGCACGUGGUGGGAGAUACACAUGGACGGUUCUGAUGAUGUGAUUUGAAACCAGGAGCUUUUUUUUUUUUUUUCUUUUACUUUUUAAUAUAAAUAUUUGAUCACGCUUUUGAAGAUUACAGCUACAAGAGUAAAUCGAAAAAAGAAAUAUGCUGAAGAAAAUGUUCUUAUUUCUCUAAAUAAGGUUAAGAUUUAGCGUUUAUUAGAGACCUCAGGCGCUUUAGACUCGAACCAGGACUCGAAGAAAUAAUUGCAUCAUCUCGAAAGGUCUAAUUGCCAAACUAACAUGCCAUUUUGGUUCAUGCAUGAAUCAAUCAUAAAUUUUAUGAAUUUUAGAUCGAUACAAACACAUUAAUAAUUUAUAAAAUCUCUUAGUUGGUCUCAUUUGUUUCCUUCACAGAAUAAAUAUAAACAUAUUUUGAUUUUCUUAUGUAUAUUUAUAUGAACUAUUUACCUAUCUAGCUUCUUUACAAAAAAAUAUUCCCUAUCUAGCCUCCUUUUGAAAAAUAUUCCCCAUCUAGCCUCAUCUUCAAAGAUUAGAGAAAAAAAGAGAAAUUAAUUCCUUUAAUAUAUAUUAAGGGGUUAAGUGGGGAAGAUUAUCUUUUUCUCUCUCCUCUCCCAUUAAUUUUUAUAUCAAAAUAAUCUUGAUUCCAUUCGGCCUAUAAAUUUUAUGUUUUAAUGUAUUAAAACCUAAAGUACGAGAAAUCCAAAUAGUUUUGGAUUAGGACCAUUAUAAUCAACUCCUUCCGAACCAUGCAUAAUAUUUCCAUCAAAAUAUAAAAAGAUUGGAAUUGGUUGAUGCGCUAUAUAAAAAUUUUCUAUUUUGAAAUAAAUCGAUAUGAGAUAAAUUAUACGCAAAAAUUAGAGAGUGAGAAGGGAUCUCGGGAAAUAGGAGAGGAGAGAGAAAAAGAUAAUUUCCCCCACUUAACCCCUUAAUAUAUAUUAAAGGUAUUAAUUUCUCUUUUUUUCUCUAAUCUUUGAAAAUGAGGCUAGAUGGGGAAUAUUUUUCAAAAGAAGGCUAGAUAGGGAAUAUUUUUUUGUAAAGAGGCUAGAUAGAUAAAUAGUUCUAUUUAUAUUUAUAAUGAGCAAAUGUAUUUUUCAAAAGAAUGUCUUGAUGCUUUUGUUUGGGAAUAAAUCUGAAAUAGUGGAUAUGGUUCACAUCUACCACGAUUUCAUUCAUCAGGUUGUAAACCUAAUAAUUUAUUUAUUUAUUUAUUUAUGGCGUAUACAUGUAAAUCGAUUCAUAUGUAUUUGUACUCUGCUGCUGCAGCAAUGCAGAGAACCCUGCUUCAUGUUUCAUGUUUCAUCUUUCGCUCUGAUUACUUUAAUCCUACCUAGUUAUUAUAUUGUACGAACGUUGCAGGUAAAAAUAAUAAUAAUUUGGACCCCGUGAAUCCCUGUCACACCCACUGCUACAUGUAUGGACGAAGUUAUAUUUGGGACAUGCUCAAGAGUACUAUAUUACUUCAUUUCAAGGGAACUUAAGCUAGAAAUCCUACAAAAAUUAUAAGAGAAAUAUUUCGUAAUUUUGGAUACUUUAGCAUGCCGAUUGCUGGGAUAUUAACAAACAUCUAUCGUAUGCACUAUCAUAAUUACGUAAAAAUGCUUUAGAUAUCUAUGUAAUAUUGUCUUUAAUAUAUUAGACAUUGUUAAUACAACAAUAAUUUUAUGUGACAUUUUUGAAAAGUAAAAAAGUAUAAAAGAUAUGUGAACUAUCGAUCAUUUCCAAUUGGUUAUUCAAAUUUUAAAAAUUUUAAUUUUAACUUUUUAAUUUUUAAAAAUGAUUUGAAAACAACACUUUUACUUUAAAAUUUAAAUUAAUUAAUUAUUUUAAUAAAUUUACAGUUAUAUAAAUUACAUAUAAUAUUAACUAAAUAUACAUAGGUAAACGAUAUAUUAACUUUUAUAUUUAAAGUGUUUUUGGUUUACUUAAAAUAAAUAAUUUGACAAAUCAGAUUAUCUAAUUAAAAUGAAAUAUAAUUCAGACAAAUUGGAGAUGCCUUUUUAAUUUUUUUGAAUUGUGCACGUACUAAAGUAGUCAAAAGUUUCAGACAUGUACUCUUCUCGUCUCAUCAAUGUGUCACAGUGUGUUAUUUUUUUGUUUUUUUUUUUUUCCUAUUUGAGAUUCUUUUCUCUUUCUCGUCUAACAAGUGAUCCCACAUAUAAAUGUAUAAUUGUAGGGCCCUGAUCUCUUUUUAAUGAGACGCGGUUUCUCUACUGAAAAAGCUGAAGAGAAAAGAGAAAAGAGCCAAAAAAAAAAGAAAAAAGAAAAAAAAAAGAAGCUUUAGAAAGGUGGCACGAUCAAUAUAUAUUACCAUGUAGUAAUAAUAAUAAGAAAUGGACAACGUAUUAACAGAGUCUAUAAAAUUUUACGGCCCCCAUGCAUUACCUCUCUCCUCUCUUUCACUGUAAUAAGCUCCACGUUCUCUUGUCUUUGUAAACUCACCGACGCGAAACUAUGGCCUACAUUUGAUGCAUGCAUAUAUCUAAUACAUUUCGUGCAUUGUACAAUAUCUAAGGAAGCAUCCAUUUUCUUUUUCUUUCGGUGCAUGUAUAGCUUUUGAAGGACUUAUUAGAUUCAUUUAUUAUUAAUAAGAUGAGGUGAUAGAUAUGCAUGGCCAUCCUUUCCAGGUUGUGUAUACAUAUGCAUGGUUUGAUAUCUUUUGAGAGAAAAAUAUAGAUUCGUACAGAAAAAGAGAAAAAGAGUAGAAGAAAAUAGCAAAAAUAGAUAACAAAGCACGUUUUUUUUUUAUGCCCAGAGGGGAUUGGAAAAAAAUUUAAAAAAAAUGAACACAAGUAAGCAUGUAAAAAAGAGGUUAGGUUAAUUGAUCGUGGUCAUUAUUUAUUAGUGCUUAAAAUGGUGAAUCGUAUGUGUAUCGGGACAUUUAAUGCACGGUCGCAAAGAGUAAAGAAGAGAUUGAAAAAUUGAGUUACGGCGGAACAACAACAGCCCCAGCUGGAAGCAUGAAAUUGAAACUUAUUAGAGAUCAGUCAAGAUUCUUCGUCCAAAAAUUAUAUCCACCGACGAAAGUAUGUCGGAGUAGAAAUUUUUACAAAUUACGUACAAAAAGUUAUUGUCCUUAUGCCCCGUCAAGAAAAGUUUUUUUUUUUUAAAGAAAAUCAAUUAUUUCUGUUCAAAUUCUGCAUGUAGAUAGAUUUUUCUUGUAUCUUAGCUUCUGAUGUUUGAUCUGGUCCGGUUAAUCAACUUUGGUCGACUCAGUAGAAAUCGAACCAGGCAAGCCACAUUGGACGGAUUAGUCAGGAUUUAGGGUGUAGGGUUGGUUUUUUAAUUUUUUUAAUUUUUAUUUUUAACUAUAUUUUAUGGCGAACCAUAGUUGAAGGUUGGGUAAGCUGGCCAUAAUAAAUGGGCCGAGUCAUUAAUUAAACAGUGUUGGCAGGCACCAAGGACAGAGGGUCUCGUCCUUUCAGGAACAGAUGCACUAUGAUAUAAUAAUAAAUAAAUAAAUAAUAAAUAAAUAAUAAUAAAAUUUAUAUUUAGUACGUAAAUGAUCUUCUCUUUACCAUCUGAAUCGUCCCGUAUCCUAAACCCUAAACCCUAAUUGGUACUUCUAAAUUGAACACGGUCUCUGAGUCGAAAAGUGAAGAUCAAUAUAUAUAUAUAUAUAUAUAUAUAUAUAUAUAUAUAUAUGAACAUAAUAAUUUAGGUAUUAUAUUUUAAAUAUAAUUUGAAAUACUGCGUUUAAUUUAUGAAUAUUAGAAUGGCUCUCUUGUUGCACCGAGAGAAUGAUUUAAAUAAAUACAAAGUUUACUAAAAUCAUUUGUAAAUUUUUUAAUUUAUUGAAGGGUUAAGUGCAAAAGAAAGUUCAAAAAAAAUUUAAAAAGAGAGAGAGAGAGAGAGAGAGAGAGAGAGAGAGAGAGGAAGCAGCCAAGCGCCAAGCAAAGCAGAGGGACACCCCCCACCCCCAUGCAGUGGAAGAGCAAACCAUCCAUGUUAUUGUUAUUAUUAUUAUUAUUAUUCCCCUGAUCAUCUCUUUGGAUCUCAUCAACCCCCAAACCCCAUCAUCUCCCCAUCCACGUGAUGUGAUCUCCAUCUCCAUCUCCCCCUCUUCCUCCUCCUCUCUUUCCUCACAUAUUCUCCUCCUCCAUUAGACCAUUACUGUAUCCAACCAACCAACCAACCAACCAACCCAUUACACAAUCAUGGAGCUGCCGGGUUCUCGAGCGAGAAGCGUAGCGACGACGACGGCGAUGUUCUUCGCGGCGACGCUUCUGCUGCUGAUCAUCUCGGCGGCGUCGGCGUCGGCGUCGGCGUCGGUGGAGCCGCCGGCGUCGUGGUCGUUCCCGAACGCGCGGCUGCGGGCGGCGUACGUGGCGCUGCAGACGUGGAAGCAGACGGCCAUCUUCUCGGACCCGCGGAACCUGACGGGCGGCUGGUCGGGCCCGGACGUCUGCUCCUACUUCGGCGUGUUCUGCGCGGCGCUGCCGUCCGACCCCUCGCUGACGGGGCCGGCUUCCUCCCCGACGAGCUCUUCCUGGGCCUCCCCGACCUCGCCCUCUUCCACCUCAACUCCAACCGCUUCUGCGGCACCCUCCCGCGCGCCCUCGCCGGCCUCGCCCUCCUCCACGAGCUCGACCUCAGCAACAACCGCUUCGUCGGCGCCUUCCCGGGCGUCGUCCUCGACCUCCCCGCCCUCCGCUACCUCGACCUCCGCUUCAACGAGUUCGAGGGCCCCAUCCCCGCGGGCCUCUUCGACCGCCCCCUCGACGCCAUCUUCCUCAACUCCAACCGCCUCCGCCGCCCCAUCCCCGCCAACCUCGGCGACUCCCCGGCCUCCGUCGUCGUCCUCGCCCACAACCGCCUCGGCGGCUGCAUCCCGCCCUCCAUCGGCCGCAUGGCCGACACCCUCAACGAGAUCGUCCUCCUCGACGACGGCCUCGCCGCCUGCGUCCCGCCCGAGGUCGGCCUCCUCCGCCGCCUCACCGUCUUCGACGUCAGCUUCAACCUCCUCCAGGGGCCCCUCCCCUCCGCCCUCUCCGGCGCCGCCGACCUCCAGCAGCUCGACGUCGCCCACAACCGCCUCACGGGCGCCGUCCCGGAGGCCGUCUGCGCGCUGCCCAGGCUCGAGAACUUCACCUACGCCUACAACUUCUUCACGUCGCGCCCGCCCGCCUGCCCGCCGGCCAUGGACGGCAGGUUCAACUGCAUCCCCGGCCAGCCGUCCCCGCGCCCGCCGGGCCAGUGCGCCGCCGCCGCCGCCCACCCCUUCGACUGCACCAAGUCCGACUGCUCCCGCCACCAUUACCCCUACCCCGUCCCCUUCCCUCCGGCGCCGCCGGCCCAUGAAUGGAGGCGGGGCUACAUUCCGCCGCCCGCCCCCGUCGGCGGCCCCACCAGGGGCAACUUACGCCGCCCGCCCCCUCCCGCCGCCAACUCUCACACAACUCCCCCCGCCUUUCCGGCUACUACGCCGCCGCCGCCUUCGUCCGCAUACCAGCCCGGGCACCGAAUGCCGCUGCCGCCUUACCAUCCCACUCCAUCGCCCUCCUCGCCGGCGGGUUCUUCACCGCCUCCGGGAUCGCCGACAGCUCCGUCGUAUCAGACGCCGCCGCCGCCGAAGGGUCACGACGGAGGGCUGCCAUUCCCGCCGGUUGUCGGCAUUCCCUAUGCGUCUCCGCCGCCGCCGGCCAUUCCCUACAACUGAAUCCUUCCUACCAUAAUCUCUUCUUCUUCUUCCUCCUCUUUUUUCCACUCUCUAUUUUUGCAAUUAAGAAGUGUCUGAUUAUUAUUAUUAUUAUUAUUAUCAUCAAAAUAUUAUUAUUAUUAUUGAAUUAAAGUGUUGUAUUCUAUCCCUUUUCGCCUUAAUUUCCCCUGUAAACUGGAGUAAAGUGUUGGCUGUUGGUUGUUGAGUAUGCAGAAGAGUCGCCUCCUCUUUUUUGCUUUAAUUUUUUUUUUUUUGUUAAUCUCUGCUGCUGCUGCUAAUGCUAAUGCUAAAACAAAAUUACAACAAGUAAAGUAGAUGAUUUCUUUAAAAAACUUUCCUUAAAAAAAGAAACAUCAAAAUUUCUUUUGGUACAGCCUCAAAGUUACUUUCGGAUCGAUCUAACGUCACGUCUCUCUCACAAUGGCAUGUUUGUGUUUUUGGAUCCAUAGAUUAGGUGUGGACGAGAGAGAGAGUACCAAGUGUUAAGUGUGUGUGUGUAUGUGGAGAACAGAGAAGAGUCAUAAAUAAUUGAGGAGCAGUUGAGCAAAUUCGUUCAAUUUCGAGGUACCGCGUAGCAUUAUGGCUCUGCUCUAGUAACUGUAGAAUUUACUGUUUUUGCGCUUCAGAAUAUAGUAGUUUAUUAAUUAGGUUAAAUUAAAAUUUGUAGAGCUUAUGUUAACUAAAAAUUAUUUUAAUUCGUCUGUCUAAAUUUUUGAAGUUUUAAUUUUAUUGUCUCAUUUUUUAACUUAUUUGAUUUAAAUCGGUUAAUAGUAUUUUGAUUUUAAAUUUUAGGCUAAUUAUUUUGUAAUUGUGAGUUUUAAAAAUAAAACAGUGUUGGCUGACUCAAAUUAAAUAAAUUAAAAGAUUAAAUAAUAAAACUAAAAUUUUAAAAAAAUUAUAUAGUCAAAUUAAAAUAGUUUAUAAUUCAGAUAAGUUCAGUAAGCUUUUGUCUAUUUAUUAUAAUUUUAUGACCUUUUUUAGGAAAGAAUUAUAGUUAUAAAUGUAAUCUAAUUAGACUACAGUUACAUUUAUCUUUUUUUCUUAAUUAUAUUAGAAUAAUAAAUAAAUAACCAUCCGAAAUAUUUUUUGUGGAAUUUGCUUUGGGACGAAAUAAUAAUGAUAGCAACAUUAAUGAUGAGGCAGCCUGGUGGUUGGUUGGCAGUGUCGAGAGCACGAGGAUGUCUAUUAUAUCCCACUUACACCACAUCAUCAAUAUUCAGUCAAUUAUAUCGCUCAUUUUAAAAAUAUAUAUAUAUAUAUAUAUAAUAAAAAUAUUUUUCUAAUAACUAUGAUGGGAUGGAUUAAUCGAAAAAAAUAGUCUAAUUAGUUGGAAACACCAUAUCAGUAAUAUAACUGAUAUAUUCUAGACUAUUUUCGAGAGUAGCGAGUGACAACUCAAGAAUGAAUUUGGAUGAGGACGGAGAAAUGUUGCUUGUACAUUCUAAAAGUUAAUUAUUAAUUGUAUAUUUUUAUUAAAAAAAUUAUAAAUAUUUGUAAUUUUAAAAAAAUCAGUAAAAUUAGUUAAAAAUAAAGUUUUGGUUGAAAAAAAAAUAAAAUAAAGCUUAUACUUGUUUUUCAUAUGUAUAAAUAAUAUAUAUAUUUUUUUGAGAGAUAGGUAGCACGCGCUACCCGUUUCGUUUAUUUCAUUUAGAAAUAGACUUAGCUAGAAAUAUGAAUCAAUUAGGAUUCGAACUUGGAUCUCGAAUACCAAUCACCAAGCUCUUUGCCACUUGCGUUAGGAACGGUCGGUUAUAUAAAUAAUAUUGCUCAUGAGGGAAUAAUAGCUGUGUGGGGUUGAGGGUGGGGGAAGAUUAAAUGAGUUAGGCUUGGUUGGGUUUGGUUGGGGUGUAGGAUAAGGAGGAUUGUGUGUGUGUGUGUGUGUGUGUGUGUGUGUGUGUGUGUGGGGAGAAGUGGAAGUGGAUCUGCUUAUUGGAGUGAGUGCCCUCAUGGCCAGUAGCGGUGCUAGUAAAAUAGUACAUUUAUUCACAUGCAAUGGGAUUCCUAUUAAUUAUUUAAAGGCCUUUUUGCAAAAAAAAUUUACUAUUUUUACGCUUUUACAAAAUUGGGUCGCUAUUUUUUAUUUUACAGAUUCGAUCUAAAUUUUCAGCAAACUGACCAAAAUACUCUUAUUAUUUUUUCUCUUUCCUUUUUUUUUUUUCUCGUUCUUUUUUCCUCUCUUCGCUUCUGCGCCGUCUCCCGCCUCGCCCUCCGCUGCGACCGCUGCUCUUACAGCAUCGGCGACGUGGUGCUGGCGGCCGUGGCCCUCCACUGCCCCGUCCUCCGCAAGCUCUCUGUCGCCUCCUGCGCCUUCGGCGCUCCAGGCAUCCUCGCCGUCGUCCGCAGAUGCCCGCUCCUCGAGGAGCUCUCCCUCGAACGCCUCUGCGGCCUUGACUCCCUGCUCCUCGUCGACGACAACGACGCCGGCGGCAACGCGGCCUCGUCCUUGCUCCAAUCCAUCUGGUGAUGAAUAAUGAAGAGCAAACAAAGAUGCACGAGAUAGAAAAAAAAAUAAAAAUAAAAAAAUAAAAAAAAUUGUCUCUUUGAAAAACUAUUAUGUAUCGUUACUAUUAUCGGAUAAGGCCAAAAAUCAGAAAAAAAAAAAAAAAGAAGAAAGAAGAAGAAGCAAAAAAUUAGAGAAAAAGAAAAAAGAAGAUGGAGGUUGCACUGUUAAAAUUAAAUUACACUAUUUUAAAAAAAAAUUGCACUGUUUAAGAUGAAUGGUAUACUCUUUAAAAUAAAAAUUACACAAUUUCGCCAAAUUUUACACUAUUUCACCCAAAAUUGUACUAUUUCUUCCAAAAUUGUACUAUUUCUCCUCCUUCUCUUCCUUUUCCUGCUUCUUUUUACACCAUUACACCAUUACACCGUAACAACAAAAAUCUUCUAAAAAUCGAGCCGGAUUUACCUACGCCGCCGACUCGCCCCAUCCCUCCGCCACCUUCGCCGCUCCCGUUCGAGCACGAGAACAAGCGUGAGCGCGAGCGAUCCCCGCAUCGCGAGUGCCGCCGCGGAGUUUCGCGGCGCACGACAGCGCCGCCUGAUCUAGGGCUAUGCCUAUCCGGCUCGAGAGCGCCGCGGCGGGGACGCAGGAGCUCGACGACGACGACGCCGACGCUGAGGACGUCGUCGUCGGCGUCGGCGGCGGAGGAGGGGGCGGAGGGGCAGGGGCAGGGGGGUCGGUGGGGCCGCAGGAGGGGCAGAGCGCAGGGAUCGGCAGGGGGUGCGGGGCGUCAGCGCCGGAGAAGCGGUGGCUGAAGUCUGCGGCGCGGCACGAGGCGGCAGACGUGGCGGGCGACGAGGAAGUUGGCGCCGUGCACGGCAGCGUCACAGGACCAACAGAGGGGGGUGACGUCGUGGGAAAAUGAGAGGCUGCAGAAGGAGGAGGUGGUUCGUCGUUGUCGGAGAAGGCGAUGGGGAACUUCUCAAGAAGAAAAUAACGAAGGAAAAAAAGAGAGAGAGAAAGUAAAGGAAUAAGAGUAUUUUCGUCCGAUGGCAAAAAAUUCGACUCGAAUCUGCAAAAUUGAAAAAUAUGGCACAAUUUUGCAAAAGCUCAAAAUUUGUGAAUUUUUUAUACAAAUUGGCCUUAUUUAAAUUAUACAAAAUAAUUAAUUUUUAAAAAAAUUUAUGCCACUUAAUACCUGUUUAAUAUUUAUAUUCAGCAUGUUUUCUGACGUUUUGAUUUAUGACACAUAACAUGAAUUUAAAUAAAUUAAAAAAAUUAAAUAAUACUAGAAGUUGACAGGACUUUGAUUUCAUAACUUUUUGCUCUGACACCGUAUUAAAGAAUGUACAAUAAUUAUUAUUAUUAUUAUUUAAAAGCUUAAGCUAGUAAAAAAUAAUAUUUUUAAUAUUUAUAUUCAAAUAAAAAUGUGUAGAAAAAUCCUCUCAACAAUAUUUAAUAAGUGAUUAUGAAAUAAAAGUUUGAAAUGUCAAAUGGAGAAAAACCCUCUCAUCAAUUUUUUAAAUAAAUAAAAAAAUUUUAAAGGGUCUGUGAACUUUAAUAUAGGAGGCCGGUAUAUUAGAAUGUACAACUAGUAAUUUUUUUUCAUAGUGCUAGUUAAAUCAUUAAGACUUUAUUUGGAAUUGCGGAGCGAUUACGUUACAUGCGGUGAAAAAGUAUGAUGAAAACAUACUUAUUUGUUUUUAUACAUAAUAUUGCGUUCCGCAUAUCGCGAUGAGUCGGUUAUAAUAUAUUUUUUAUGAUCCCAUCAGAGAAUGUAGAAUUAUAGCUCUAUAUAUUUUUACCCUAACACUAUUUUAUCCAAUAGUGUUAGAUGAGAUUCAGUACCAAACUAAGCCUAAAUCUAAUGAACCAUGUAAUUGAAAGCAACUAAAUUAUAAAAGGACAGUUACAAAAAAUGAAUCAAAAUGUAUUAGAUGUUAUUUCAAAGGCCUCUAUAUAACUGAAGGUGUCUGCAUACAAUUCUACCUUGUAAUUCUUAUAAUUAUUACUUAUAUUACUAUUAUUAGAUCACAAAGAAGAGGGAGCACGCCUGUGUCGUUUGCCCCAGUGUCGGUGCUGCCCCCAGAAGCCAAAGCCAGAGCCAAAACCCAAUGGAGAAGCAGCAGCAGCAGCAGAGGAGCAGUUGCAACAAGUUACAACAACAGCAGCAACAACAAGGGCAGUAUAGCUCAUUGAUGGAUUAAACCUGACACUCUCUCACUCACCCACGUGAUUCAGUAAAAGAUAUGCUGAUCCACUGUCGCUACAUUUGCCAUAUAAGGGAAAACUUUAAAUACCAUUUCUGUUGCUUCGCACUUUUUUAUUUUAGUACUCCGUGAUUUAAAAUUUAUCAAGUUAGUAUCUUAUAGUUUAGCACUUUCUCACUUUAAUAUCAUGUGGCUUAAAGUGCAUCAAUUUAGUACCCUUUGGUUCCAUUUUUUCUUUUCGUCGGCUCCUCUGUUAAUAUUUUGUUAAAUUAUAUACAAAAAACUUCAUAUAUCCUGCCUAGGUUCAUCGAAUAUUUACUUUAGUACCUUUUUGGUUUUAAUUUUGUCACUAAUUUUUUUCCUCCAUUAAUAUUUCGUUAAAUUAUAUACAAAAAACUUUAGGUACCCUACCUAACUAGGUUUAUCCAAUAUUCACUUUAGUACCUUUUAAUUUUAACAUUAUCAUUGAUUUAACAAAAAAAUUAGUAAAAUGGAUAAAAAAAAGAGAAAAAUAAAACCACAGGGUACUAACUUGAUACAGUUUAAACGACAGAGUACUAAAGUGAGAAAGUGCAAAACCACAGGGACUAACUUGAUACACUUUAAACCACAGGAUAUUAAAGUGAGAAACUGUGAAACCACAGGGGGGUAUUUGAAGUUUACCCUUGCUAUAACAGUAGUUGCUGGAUCUCUCUUUUGUUGUGGGUUCCUUAAUUAUAGGGUUAACAUAAGUUGAUCCAUUAAUUAUGCAAACUUAAUUGCCACCGAUCCAUUAAUUUAAUAAGUGACUUAAUAUCCUAAGUUGAUUAGUACUACUUAAGCAGUAGAGUUAUUAAACCAUCAGUGAAUAUUGAAAAAUAAGUGAAGAUCACGCAGCAGAAAAACCUUCUCAUCCAUCAGCCAAGCGACCAACAUAUGCUGUCCUAAAGAGAAAAGUAUUUAGUAUGUAUUUCAAUUACUCUCUAUGCAAAAAAGUUACAUCAUUUUUGGUAUAUGGAGUAUAACUCGGGCUUUUAACAUUCCGUGCCUUUAUCGAUCAUACCUAAAAACUUAAUGAUUGGUAUUUCAGAUCCCUUAUUCGAAGUGUAGUUACUUUACAUUUCUAGCUUAUUUUUUAAAAAAUAAAUAAAUAAAUAAAUGAAACGAUACUUUUCUUUUAGGAAAAAAAAAAUACAUAUUUGGACCAAUUGGGCCUAACAAGUUUGGCGGACUCGUGGGCUAGUCAGGUUGUCGAGCACAUAAUCACUCUACGCUUAAAAAAAAAAAGAAAAAAAAAAGAAAAAAAAAAGAAGAAGAGUUGUAGAUGAACCUUAAAACCUUAGAAAAGGCCUAAGUACCUCAGAAAUGUUAAAUGGGCCACAUUGGGCCAAUACUUGUUUCAGGCCAAGGCCCAAAAGCUCGAACGCCUACGAGAGAUGCUGUUUAUAUUCUUUUCUGAUGAGGUCCAUUCUCAUAUUUCAUCCUCGCCAUCUCGCAUAUCAAUGACAAAGAAACGUAAAUGGAAAUGAGAGAAUUGUUCUAGAGUUUUCUUCUUCCAAUAUAUAAAAUAAUUAUGAAAGUUAUCACGAGAGAGUCAUUUGACUAACACAAAUUAAAGCUUCUACUUUCUUCCGGUUAACGUUGUAUUACUAUGUUUCAUUAAAUUAUUUUUUAAAUAUUACAGCACCUGCUGCAUUUGGUAAUAAACAAACAAAUCCCACAAAAACCCCAUCAAUUAGAUAUUCGGGCCGGGUAGAAGCCAAUGUAGCCCAAUGGAAUCGGGCCGCAUCAUAGUUGCCUACUGGGCUGGGCUAUAUUUUGUUGGGUAGUUCGAAGAAGCGGGCUCGGGAGUCUGGUCACCUCCGGUGAGCUCACCUCCCCUGCAGUAUCAUCUGUUUUGCAGCAAAACAUUUUUUUGGGUGGAGUUUUCAUCAAGGAAACACCGAGGUUGUGCUUACUUGGCGGUGAGCGUAAUUUACAUAACGACACGGUAUGUAAAUGCAGGAAAGCCAAAAUAGUAUUUAAAUUUUAAAAUUUUGACAAAUAGUUUGUGAAUUUAAAUCAGCCAUUUAUUUAUCCUCUAAUUUUGUUCGUUUCUAUUAGCGUAUGAUUUGAAAAUUAUUUAUUUAUUAUGGAGCAAAUUUUGUGGAGCCAUUCUCAAAACAUUUUUAUUCAUAAGCCCAAAACAAACUAUCCAAAAAGAGGGCCAUCAAUUAGGUUUUUGGUGAAAGCCCAUGUAUAGAGUCCGGUAGCUAAUGGCUUCGGCCUGGGCCAUAUGGGCUUCGAGACCAAUCAAUUGGGUAUAUUUGGGCCGGGUAAAAGCCCAUGUACUUGAGUCAAGUAGUCAAUGGCCUCGGCCCGUAUUACAUCCAGAUUGGGUCCCACAUUGGGCCGGGCUACAUUUUGAUGCGCUCGAGUCUCGUCAACUCCGGUGAGCUCACCCCCAGAGCAGUAUCACCUGUUUUGCCACAAAACUUUUUUUUCCGUGGAGUUUUCUUCGGAAAACUCCCUGGUUAUGCCUAGUAGUGGUGAGCGUAUGUGUGUGUAUAUAUAUAUAUAUAUAUAUAUAUAUAUAUAUAAUGAAUUUUAUGAGUCAUUCUUACGAAUUUUUUAUUCAAAGAUUAUAAUUUUUAAAUGCUUUAAUUACUUUAAAAUUUAAAUGUAUCAUUUAUAUUUACUAUCUUAGUUAGUAUUUUUUUUAUAUAUAAUUUUUGUAACUUAAUAAAAUGAGUGAUUUGUUUAAAUUUUGAAGUUAAAGUAUCGUUGACUAAAUUAAAUCAAAUAAACUGAAAAUUUUGAUAGUAAAAUUAACAUUUUUAAAAAUUAGACAGUCGAUUAAUUAAAAAUAAUCCAUAAUUUCGGUAGGUUCUAUACGUUUUUAUCUAUCUUAAAUCAGGCAACCAUAUUUUUUCAGAAGAAUACAUUAGAGAGGCACACAAAUCUCUUUUUUAAAAAAAAUUUAUUCUUAAAAAAAAUUAAUAAGCCUAUAGUAGGAUAAAUUUGAUGUGAACGGCUAGAAUAUUGUCGUCCCUUUGAUAAGCUUUCAUAAUUAUUUAUUCCUCUCUCUCUCUCUCUCUCUCCUGCAAAAUAAAAUAAUAAAGGGAAUUAAGCAUAAGAGAAUGUCAAAGGACUAACUCGUAAUCUGCUCCGUCCAUCACGGCGCGAACAUUUCAACAAAUUGCUAUAAAAUUUACUGCACACCAUAAUUAUUUUGUCCACCAAACAACAACUGUGGCCAAUGACAGAGAAUAAAUACUAAAUAAAAAUAUAAGGGCUAAAUAUCAAUCCUUAAUUAGUCACCUUUUGAAUUAAAAAAAUCAUUAAUUAGUCACUUCGAUAUUUAGUUUGUUACUUCGACAUACAUUGGUUUGUUCAUCAAUUAAAAUUCACAUUUGAGUUCAUCAUUUAAUGUUUGGUUAAAUAGCUUAAUUAACUCAGUUAUAUCUGAACAGAUACUAUAUAUAGCUCUGUUUGGAAUUAUAGAAAAAUUAUGUUACAUACGGUAAAAAAUAUUAACAAAAAAAUAUUUUGCUUGUUACGUUCUGCAUAUCGAUAGUUAUAAUAUACUUUUCUAUGUUUUUGUUCUAACUCUAUUUUAUCUAAUAGUAUCAGAUGGACAUCAAUACCAAAUAGAGCCAUAUAAUAGAUAUUAAUGAUUGUCACUGCAUACGUAAUAUUCUUGCGUGUUUGUCAACUUAAUAAUAAAUAAAUUAAUUUUACUUAAUCUUUUCCCCAGUUGGGCAUUGGAAUCUAAUUAUGGUAAUCAUUAUCUAACAUGGGUGCCACUACAUUCAUCAGCUGUCCAAAGUCUCCAUUCCAUUUUAAUAAUAUAUAUCACGAACAAUAUUUAAUUAAAACCAAAAUUAAAUAAAACCCAGUCCCCUUAUACGAGAAACUAUUCCCCACACCAGGGGUAUGUACAAGUUAGAUAUUCCUAAAAGCCAAUUAUGCACCACAAAAAUUUACAUGCAUUUUUAAAAAAUCUGUAACCCAGACGCAAAUGAUCAUUAAAUGUUUCACUUAUAAAAAAAAGUUAAUUGUUUAUAUACUCUCGAAAAUUUCAACUUUCGUAUUUACCAUUUAUAAAAGGCUAAUAUUAAAAAUAUUUUUGUAAGGUUUCAAAUUUUUUCAAAUAUAUUUUUAGGGUAAAAUUUUAUUAGUGAAUGGUUAGAAACAGCUUGUUAUAUAUCUAUGUAAAAUUACUAUUUUGUCAUUUUAAAUAUAUACUUCUAUCGUUGCCAACUUUUAUUAUUUAUUUUUAAGUUAGGGGACCAAAAAUAUAUUUUGACUUUUUAUCAUUUCAAACAUAUAUACUCUUUUACUAUUACCAACUAGGCAAAUUCUUUUAUUAAUUUAUCCUUAAGAUAGGAACGAAGUGGGUAUUUUUACUAUUUUUUAACUAUGGUGAGAAUUUAAUUCAGAUUUAAUCCGAAAUGACUUAACGGCCACUAAUAGUAAUGAUAUUUUUGAAUAGCCGAGAAAUAUACGGGAGAUAUAUUUGGAAUAACAAAACAUAUUUCAAAAAUUUUGAAAAGUACAUAGGCAAUUAUCUUUAAAAAAAAAAACUUAUAAGUUAUAACCGGGUGGAGGAAAUAAUUAAUUUCCCCCUUAAACUAGAUAGAUACAAUACCAACUAGCUAGCUAGUGCCCAAUAUAUAUAUACCUAUUGGCACCAAUCAACACAAAAAUAAAGAAAAACAAAGGGGGCCGGGGAAGUAGCUACUCCAUGGCUUCUUCCACCGCCCGUCUCUUCCUCCUCGCACUCGCCGUACUCGUCUCCUCCGACGCUGCGCGUUCGUCUCCGAACGGCAGCGGCGGUCGAGGACAAGUACGAGGCCUGGCGAGGCAGUUCCUGCAGCUGCACAACGCGGCGCGGCUUGCGGUGGGCGUGCCGCCGGUGUCGUGGGACAGACGGCUGGCCGGGUACGCGCGGUGGUACGCGAACCAGCGGCGCGGGGACUGCCUGCUGGUGCACUCCAAGGGGCCCUACGGCGAGAACCUCUUCUGGGGGAGCGGCGUCGGCUGGAGCCCCGCGCAGAUCGUCGGCGCCUGGACCGCCGAGCGCAGCUCCUACGACUACUCCUCCAACUCCUGCCGCGGCGUCUGCGGCCACUGGACGCAGAUCGUCUGGAAGGACACCGCGCGCGUCGGCUGCGCCGUCGUCGUCUGCUCCGGCGGCCGCGGCGGCACCUUCGCCAUCUGCAGCUACGACCCCCCCGGAAACUACGUCGGCAUGCGCCCGUACUAGCCAUGAUCCAAAUUUUGUUACACACAUAAAUUUACUACGUACGUACACUUCUUCAAAUAAACUAAUUAAUUACUACUCUACUACGUACUACGUACUACGUACGUACUGUUCUAUAUAUGUGCAUGCAUAUAUAUAUAUGCACCAUAAAUAUUUUGUUUGUUAAUAAAUUACGCAUUCUUUUUUUGUGUAAUAUUCUUUAAUUUAAGAUGGUUCUAUUGGCAGCUAAUAAAUAGCUGUGUUUUUGUCCUUUGGUUUUAUUACGAUGGAUUUUUCAUGAUUAUAUAUAUGCAGUGAUUGGGUGAAUGAGCUAUAGCUGAGAAUUUGAUUGGUUGUGUCAUGUGUCAUGUGCAUGUGCUUAGAAAGGUACGGGAAUGUGUGACCACAUGACUAGAUGCUAUAUUAUUUCUUUCAUUAAAGGCUUUUCACAUGUAUUAUAUAAAUUAAUACAUUGGAAUAAGGCUCAAAAAAAAAAAAGAGAAAGGAAAUUAUAAACUUAUUAAUUAGGAUGAGAUCAUCUUAUUCUGGUGGGAUAUUAAUUAGUUACAAAUGAUUGGUACCUUGUGGCACAUGUGAAUUAUAUAGCAAAAUGUUAUUCUUUUUAGUGAACAUGUAGUAUAUAUGAUGGAAUUAUUUGAUCUACUAAUUAAUCGAGCACUUUAAUUGAUGAUUCUUUAAUUGUUUUUUCUUUUUUUUGGGGGGGGCGGGGGGAGGAGUACACAAAGAAUAAGUUUCAAUAUUAUAUAUAAGCGAUAACUAAGUUUAAUUUGUUGUUUGUUUUCUCCCUAUAUAUAUUUAGCAAAGUAUAAAGCUAUCGCUUAUUUAGAGUCAUCAUAUAAUUAAUUAAAUUCACGUCUACCCUAAAAAUAUACUUUUAAAUAUAAUUAAAUUGAUUAUUCUCCUUUAUUCUAUUAUUUUCAUAUCACACUUACGUACGGAGAACCUGAUACUAUACCACUAGGCUAGGUAUUAAGCAUGUUGUACGUAUACCAUGCACGUCGUAAAAUCAAAGCUUCGAAUUACCGUUGGAUAUUUCAAAUAGCAACUUCACUUUUCAUGUUCAUUUGAGGAUAACUACUUAUUGAUCGAACGUACGUUUGGUAUUUAUUAUCUACAUGAUUUUGAUAUUGUACACCGAUACAUCUCCAACUGUAUACAUCAAAAUUGCACACCUCUAGUAGGUUACAGAAAUACAAAAAAGAGCCCUCUCAUGGUGGAAUUAAGCAUUCAUUAAAGCAGAAAUUAGGAUUGAUUAGACCUUUCUUUUCAUAAAGAGACUUCUAUUAUUCUGUAUAUUUUGUUCAUAUCGGGCUGACACACUGAGCAAAAUAAAAAUUUGAUGGAAAUAAUUUUAACACGAGAUUGUUAUGAACUAUAUAUAUAUAUAUAUAUAUAUAUAAUUGAGCUCCUAUGCUUUUAAAAGUACAAAGUUAUUAGUGCUUGUAAGUUUUCGGCCCUUGGAUUAAAGGAUGUACGGUUAGGAUGAUGUGGGUUCCCUAGGGUUGAAUGGGUGGUUGGUUGAAUAGUAUAAUCUAACGAAUAAAAAUGAUCAAAGGCAGAGAUUUAACGGUAAAAAAUUUACAAGCACCAAGUGUUUGGUGCUUUUACAAGCACUAUAGCCGGACUAUAUAUAUAUAUAUAUAUAUAUAUAUAUAUANCUAUAUAUAUAUAUAUAUAUAUAUAUAUAUAUAUAUAUAUAUAUAUAUAUAUAUAUAUAUAUGUUAUUUUUAUUAAUAAGGCUUUUCCCCAACAUAAUUUCCGGGGGGAUAAUAGUUACAGACCAUAAACACGCCCCCCUCGUCGCACACCGCACGUGCGCACCCGACCCGCCACGUGCUCCGCCACACGAUCUGGGUGUAGUGGCCACACACCCGGCCGGCGGCGCACGUGUUGGACUCGUACGUAUAGUCUCUCUCCUCCGCGGCCCAGGCCCACACCGCAUCCGUGGGCCCCCACUCGGGGCCCGAGCCGACGAACACGUUCUCGCCGAGCACGAACUGGCCCUCGGGGAACGAGUGCAUGGGCCCACAAUCCCCCUUCCUCUCCCCGGCCCACCACCGGGCACGGGCCUCCAGCUGUGGGUCCCACAAUAAAGGAAGCUCCCAAUGGGCCGCGCGGACUAGGUUGUGGGCGUAGAGGAAUUUGAUGGGCUCGGCCCAACAGCCCAUGCAGAGGGACCUCGAAAUGUUGUAGAUGGUACUGUUUUCGAUGUAAGGCUUGUGCAAGAGGAGUGGAUUUGGAGAGGAGUAGUGGGGUGUUAGUAAGGAGAGGAGAAAGAGGAGAGUCGUUAUCAUAACGCUUACUAGUGAUUACUAGUGAUUCGUGCUUUGCAGCGGAUAGAUGUUACUGUAUUGGGAGAGGAGUGAAAGGAGGAGAGUUGUGAUCAUAUUGCUUAGGAUUUAUAUGUGGUGGUGACUUGGGGGUAUAUAUAGUGGGUGAAAAUGCAUGAGAGAUCCCCUUAAUAAGAGGCCGUUUUGAAAUCGAGCCUCAAUUUAACUUUUUUCAAUUCAUGUUCUAUAACUCGAAACUUCUUAUCUUUUUUGAUAUAUCGAAUAAUUUUAAUCAAAUUUGAUAUUUAUGCUCAUUUUUUAGUCUAGUAGAGUCAUUAAAUUUGAUAAAAUUUUUAACUUAAAUAUAUAGAAUAAUUUGGAUAUAAAAAAAUUAGAAAGUUGAGACAAUAUCACUUAACAACAAAAUUGAGUUGAGGGGCCUUUUUGAAAAUUACUUAUAGUUGAUGGGGAUUCGGUACAUUUUUACCAAAAUAGUUGGUAGCCUCGUGACGAGGGGGCAAAGCAAACCCGUGAGUGAUGAUUUUGUUCGUUCUACAUCUUGUCAGGGAUACACGUGGCUUGCAUGGAUCGUGGAUAAAAAAUUUACAUAUAUAUAUAUAUAUAGAUCUUUCCAGAAACAUCAUGAUAUAUACGUAUAUGUAUGCUAUAGGCAAUAGAAUGUUACAUAUUAUAAUAUUGUACCCAGCCAUUUUUUUCUAUUAUUUAUAUUAUAAAAUAUUGUUAUAUCAACAACAUUAAUUUACCGUGCAUGUAAAAUGAAUAUACCAAUAUUAUUUGACAAUCAAAAUUUUUAGAGAUAAAUGAUUACUAUAUAUUAUAUUAUAUGGUUUAAGAAUAUAGAGUUUUGAAUUCGAAUUUAUUUUUGAGUAAGUUUGUGACCUUUUAGGAAGUUAUAGGAGAAGAUGUAACUUAAUCAAUCUCAGGUAAUCAAUUGCACAAGCAUGCAUUGCAACAAAUUAACAUCAUUAUAUUUAGAAUAUAGAAAUGCUAAACCAAAUGGCCCAAGAUGCAGGCCUAAAAUCACAUGUAUAAGAAUUAAUCUACUAAAGCUGACACUCUCUUCUCUGGAUGACAAUUCCUAGUACUCUUUGUAUGAGACCGUUAAUAUAUAUUUGAGAAGGGUGCUAAGCUCAGAGUAUAUAAAGCAUCACCUCUUCUCAAAAAUUGCUCAGGAGAUAGAUGAGUCUAAAAUGGCCUCUGGCCCAUGACAUUGCCGUGGGGAUCAUAGUUGCAUGUAAUGAAAGUGUCCCCGGUCGUGCACACGAUUUGCGCGCACCCGAUCCGUAAGCUAUUCCUCCACACGAUUUGGGUGUAGUGCGAGCAAUCCUGGUCCGGUUGGCACGAGUUCGAACCGUAGUCGUAAAAGCUGCUCUCGGCCGCCCAGGCUGCAACCGUGUCUCCGGGCUGCCACUCGGCGCCUGCGCCCCAGAAGAUGUUCUCUCCGUAGUCAGAAUCGGAAUGAACCAAAGCGCAGUCGCCGCUCCUCUGGCUUGCCCACCACGAGGCGUAGCCCGCGAGCGCGUCGCUCCAUUGGAGCGGCGGCAGGCCGAGGCUCCCUCUGAUGAGGUUGUGCGGUACGAGAAAUUGCUGCAGCAUUGUACUUUGCAGCAGACGGCGUGAAGGCCGAGGACGGAUAGGCUCGCAGCUCGAAGUUGAUACUGCAGGAGUGAAAAGAGAGAAAAAGAGAAAAAAGAAGAAGAUUCUAAAAGCGGCACGGAAACCGGAGCUCUUGGGCGCCAUUUUCGAGGUUUUGGGAGGAUCUAAGUAGCUCGCUACUAGCCAGGUAGUUAUAUAUAGGACAACGGUUCGGCGCUCGUCGCGGUUGUGAUACAUUUAAAUAUGUCCAUGAUUUUAACGCUACUUAUGAUUCGAUUUAAGCCACUGAUUAGGGACUAAUUUCAUGUGGGCAUCACAUGGAUUGCAGUUGCAGAAUAGAGACAUGUUAGGGAAUGUGGCAUUGGGUUCCGUCGACUUUUGUUAAUUAAUUAACAACACUCAAAAAAUGGCCCCAGUCGAAAACAGGGGAUAGAUUCAUUUGAUCUGAGUGUGGUCAAGUUUCAGCUUGUUAUUUAAACUCAAAUUAUUAUCUCCCAUCUUUCUAUUUCUCUUAUUUUUUUGGAAAAACUUCAAAAACCCCCCCCUGUGGUUUCAUGCAUUCUCACUUUAGUACCCUGUGGUUUAAAACGUAUCAAUUUGCCCCCAUGUGGUUUCAUUUUUAUCUUUUCAGAAGCUUUUUCGUUAAUAUUUCGUUAAAUUAUAUACAAAAAACUUCAGAUAACUAUCUAUGUUUAUCGAAUAUUCACUUUAGUAUCCUUUAAUUUUAAUUUUGUCACUGAUUUAAGAAAAAAAAAUAAUAAAAUUGAUAACAAAAAGAGAAAAAUGAAACCACAGGGGGGCAAAUUGAUACGUUUUAAACCACAGGGUAUGAAAGUGAGAAUGCAUGAAACCACAGGGGGGGUUUUUGAAGUUUUCCCUAUUUUUUUUCCUUUAAUUUCUCCUCCUUAAGGCAUGAUGAGAACAUGCAUUCCUGUAUAUUGCUUAAGAUAUGGCUCAAUAGGUAGGAAAUUAAGUACCCCUUAAAAUUUGUGAGUUGAAUAGUAUUAUCUUUUUUAUCUCUCUACGUGGUAGUUUGUAGCUUUCUAAUCACAAAAACUAUGAAAAAUAUAUUUAUCUACAACUUAAGUUUUCAGAGAAAAUUAGUUAUUUCAUAGGGUGUUCGAGAUAAAUCCGAUCACGUUGCACUAGCUUAUUUAUAUUUAGAUCCAUAUUAUGAACUGAAAACAGAGCUUUAUAUUUCUCCAAGUGUGGCCUUUGUAUUAUAUGCCAAGCAGCUAAAAGAAAUAACAGUUAUAAUGCGAGGUUAAUGCACAUGAUAAGAGAUGAUUACACGCGAAGUCGAUGAUCUUAAUGACUCAAAACUAUACAUUGAUGCUUAGGCUUAUAAUAUCAUGAUAGAAACAUAUAACCGAACCGUUUCAAGGCUAACAUGCAAUUUACUUCUGUUUACUUUAAACAGAUUGAAAGCCUAUUUUACAAUACAAGUCAAAACGUUUUGUUAAUAAAGGUUAAAGCGCAAUGUAUGCGAAAGUUUAUGAACUAAAAUAUUUAAGUUGUAGAGGCCAAUUAAGUUGCAAUGUUAACGAAACAGAGUAUUGAUCUAUGUUAUUUUCAUCCAAAAUAGCUCGUGAUGGAGCAGGUUGAAAUGCAUUCUAUUAUAGAUGAGCGACAAUAAUGCAUGUUUCCAUAAUUUUUCUGUACAUGAUGCUAUGUUACCUAUGUAUAAUGUGACCCCAUAAUUUUGGGACUAUUUGGCCUAACUUUUGAUUUUAUUACAGCAAAAUGUGUUGUCGCAGAAAUAAUCAAUUUGGCUAAUCAUUUUAAAUUUUUAACAUAUAGGAUCCCAACAAUUUGGCAUUUUAAGAGCGAAAAAGAAAUAAUAUUCUUGGGUGUAAUGACUUUGGACACGAUUAAUCAUUUUUUAAUUAUUUUUUAAAGAUUCAACUUGUAAUAUAUUAGUCAGGGAAAAAAAAAAAACCCAAAAUUAAAUGAACAAAUCGGCGUCACAAAAUUCGCAAAAAAUGAUGAAUUUAACGGUCGAUCCCUUGAGUGCAAACUUUUGUAGAUGAUCUUAAUUACCUCAUACUAUAAGUCUAAAAGUUUCUUAAAUUCAAUCUCUAAAACUCAAAUCCAUGAGCUUUUCAUAGUUCAAAUUAAACCACCACCUCGUUAAUUAAUUACCUGUGCAAUCCUUGAGGAUCACUACACUUUGGAUCACAUCUCAAACAGUCAAAUCCACUACUAAUUGAAAAGGGUGUUUUUCCUACAAACACCUCUUUUCAUCUACUGAUAUUGUAACUGUUGUCACGUGGUGUGUUUGGUCGGUUUUAAUUUCAACAGUAACCAAUCAGGUGAUGUGCUAGUAGUUAGAAGGGCUUCUGGCCCAUGAUAUUGCCAUGGGGGUCGUAGUUGCAGGUGAUGAAGGUAUCGCCGGUGGCGCAGACGACGCGGGCGCAGCCGAGCCACUGGCUCUGCCGCCACACCAUCUGCGUGUAGUGCGAGCAGUCCUCGUCGGGCCGGCACGCAUUCGACCCGUAGUCGUAGUAACUCCGCUCGGCCGCCCAUGCCGCCACCGCGUCCCCGGCCUGCCACCCCGCCCCGCCCCCCCAGAAGAUGUUCUCCCCGUAGUUGGUGUCCGAGUGCACCAGCGCGCAGUCCCCGCUCCGCUGCCCGGCCCACCACUGCGCGUAGCUCGCCAGCGCGCCGCUCCACCGCAGCGGCGGCAGCCCCAGGCUCCCGCGCAGGCUGUUGUGCGGCGCCAGGAACUGCUGCGCCAGACUGCUCUGCUGCUGCAGCAUUCUCCGUGAAGCACCAGCAGUACUGGAAACUGCCGACAGUACUGCAACAAAAACAACCGCACAUGAAAGGGAAUGACUGUGAUGAGUACUGGCCAUUAAUUCUAACAAAAAAAACACAGAUAGGUAGGUAGUUAAUUUGAUGGAAGUUGCUUUGUUGGUUGUUGGUAGUUGCAUACAUAUAUAUACAGUGUUUUACACAGAUCAGUGGAACUUUAUUUACUAUAUACUGAGAUUUAGAAUCAUUAAUUAAUUUUUAAUUUCAUGUGAUCAGCACGCGAACCGAGGAAACUUUAACUGCCGUAACCGCCGUUGAUCAAGGUGGUUUUAUGCUAUAAUUAAGUUGGGGUCAACUGCUGAUGAUUCGUCGAUCGACUGGCAAAUUAGAGCACAUCUAGGGCGAGAUAACUGCAGGAUUAAUAUAUAAAGUAAUUAUUAGUGUAUCAAUUUUAAUCUACUAGUUAUAACAGUUCAUGUAGUAUAGUAUAUAUUAGUAAAUAUUUUCCGUAAUUUGCGCGGUAAACACAUGGUUUAGGAGUCGAAUCCAAGCUUUGGGCUGAUAUAAACACGUGGUCCCAUGUGAGUAAUAUCUAGCUUGCUAUCUUAAAUGAACACCAAAUUAAUCAUGUAGAUCACACUUCGACAGUAUUCUAUAAUUUAGAGUGUAGCAAUUUUUUUAGCUUUUUUCUUUUGUGAGAGAGUUAGUAUGCUAUCUGCUUUAUUUAUUUUUUUAAUAAAUGAACUCAGUUAAAAAUGUGAAACUUGUGACCUCGGAUAUCAAAAAUCAAGCUCUUAGUCUAACUAAAAAUGUGUAGUAAUUUUUUUUACUUCACUUUUUUGUUGUUUUUUUGUUCCCCUGAGCUACUAAUCAGAGGAUUACAAAACAUAUAGAGAUCACUCCUUUGGCUUGUAAAGUGUGUACACUUUAUUACUUUAUUUGAUGCCAUGUUAUUAUACGAAACAAAAACAUAUAACACAGGAGAGCAAACUUACUACAAUUUAAACCACAAUAUUGAUAACUGCAAAUCUGCUAUACCAUAUAUAUGUAGAGAGAGAGAGAGAGAGAGAGCGCGCAAUUCACCGGGCAAUGUUCUGAGAGCUCAGCAAUUCGAUGGUAGGAUUAUUAUUAUUAUUAUUGUUAUUUUAAGAACUAACUGCACAAUCUUGAAGAGAGCACCUCCUAAUCAGGUACUUAACAUGAGGUUUUAAUAUUUGAUCAUGAUUCAUGCAUUGGAUUCUUAUUCACUUAUCUUCAUGAUUCAAUCUUCAGAGUAGUAGACAAUCAUUAAUGUGUUAUUCUUAAAACUAGGGCCAUACAAGUUCUUUAUUUGAGUAUCUAUCCACUUGAACAAUAUGAUUGUACAAUGCCCAAAAUUCAAUGCACGAAAAGUUGCAUGGAGUAUGACUACAGCAAAAACCUUACCCAGAGAGAGAGAGAGAGAGAGAGAGAGAGAGAGAGAGAGCAUGACCUACUCACUUAUAACAUGAUCAAAAGAGAGUGAGAGCAACUUAAUUUGAAUCGGUGCAAGUUAGAUGUAUCUCGAAUUCUUGGAUCUGGUCCGCUUGCGGUAUUUCCACCCCUCCCCAAAAAGAGAAAAAAGAGAGCGAAACUAAAUACAUAUUCAUUACUUCAAGACACUUAUAUCUUUUCUCAUGUUGAGUUUAUUUGUUUGGUGAUUUUUUUGAGUCAUGAGAGCUUUAGGUGCAACUACGGUGUCGAAAGUGCUGACAACACUUCAUACUUACAACUUUUUUGAAGGUUUCGAAAAUAAGUUGUAUGCGUGAAUCAAUCAUAUUUGUAACUUGUUCUAUUUAUGUCGAAGAUACGAUACAAACUUUUAAGUAGUUAGGAUCUAUAUAAUGU